ACUGAUGCACAUGGCACAGAAAAUAUACAACUAGUUACGGUUUAUAAUUUUUGAGAAAAAAAGAACAUCGUAAUUUAAAAAGGAUAAAUCAGAGGAAAGGAACAGGGAGAGGCGCCAAAUUAAUAUUUGACGUACUGCAUGUUUUAUGCUCAGAAGCAUAUCAAAAUCCUGUUGUUUGAGAACGUAAUAAGCAAAUUCAUUAACAAAGUUGUAAAGGGCAAGAAAACACAUUUUCAUAUAGCCCGGAAGGUGCUUCAAAGCAUAAUUGAUGUCCCACCUGCAGAAAAAAAAAAUCACAUAAACGGUCUAUUAAAUUGAGAAGUACCAUGCAGCUAGGUAGCAGUUGAAUUGUUAAUUUGCCAACAAACCUCGCAACAGCAUCAGUGAAUAUCUCAAGUUCAUCCAAUGUUCCAUAGACAUCAUAAAUGUCAUCAAUCACUGUAAUUAGGGCUAUCGAGAUUGUGAGCACUCUCCUGCAGUAGGCGAAUUGAGGCUCAAACGCGAUCCCCAUGCUCCAUAAGAAGGACGCUACCAACCUGUUCCUCGCAAAGCUCAAUUUCUCUCCAAGACCUGUAUCCUUCCACCACCUUCAUAGGAAAAUUAAAACGAAUAUUACGACACGUGAUUUAUAUAUCUGUAUAUAUAGAAUCAGCUUUCUGUCUGGAAUUCUGAAGAAUAUUUCUCUGAUACAAGCAUCUCAUUUUAUAAAGCACGUGACUUGUGGCUUUACAAUGCAUUUACAUAUAGAGUUAUCUUCUAGUUCGAGAUUCUUUAAUGCAAACGUUUGGAAUAAUUUAAUAUACAUUUAUAUAAAGUGUAGGCUGGUGCCUUUAUACUGCUGUAAAAGGCGGAGUCUGCACUUGAGAAUAAUUUAAUAAACAUAUGAUUAAAUUGUACAAGUUAUCUAUUCGAUAAAAUCAAAUCUUUGCAAUAUAUAUGAGUUAUGCAAUCAAGGCAUAGAUACCCUGAAAUGUCUUUAAGUUCUUCCUGGUAAAUUGCCUGCAAAGUGUUAAACUCCAACUUAGCGAGCUCAAGUAAAAGGUGGUUCUUGUCCUCUCUUUUCUCAUAAACGUGUAUGAACCACCUUGCCUCUAACAUAGGCACUUUCCAAUGCAGAGGGAGCUCCAGCGCCCGCUUCGCUUGUUCUGCUACAAAUACAUCCUCUUCCUUGCUGUUGCUGGUGAUCAUCAUUUCUUUAAGAUGCUUACUGGUGAAUUGCCAGGCCUCCUCCAUGAUGCUUUCUCCUUCUAAGCUGUAAUACGAGGCUUCAUGCAAGCUCAGUAUUCCCUUGAAAUCAUCACAAAUGAAGCCUACCUUGUCGUCUUUAAAACCACUGAAAACCUCUGCAGUGCUCAACCGAAAAAAGAAAUUAUAUUCAUCAAAACUUUUACACAUAUAUGUUAAUUAGAGAAUGAUUUAAGUGUCCCCAGCGGCCUUGUCGAGUUCGAAUUUCUCAGGAGAUAGAGAGUUAAAAAAUUGAUUUGGGUUUUGCCCACUUUUUUACAUUUAAAAGGAAUGAAUAAGAUAAACAGAGAGAUCGAUUCAAGUAUUCGGAUCUUGCAUGUGCAUGACAGAGUAAGCGAACUAAUGAAAGGUACCUUGAGAAACAGGAUAGCCAUGUUGUCUAAGAAGUCUGAAUUCAAGGGAGGUUGCAUACAGAUUUUCUUUUCUCCAAUUAUAAUCUUUAUUAUGGUUGUGGAUAUUACGCAAUAUGUUCCGAAUCUCAGGCUCAAAAUGAUAAGCCAAUCCAAGUCUUUGCAAAUUAUCAAUCAGCUCCAACUGAUCCAGAGGCUCGGUUACAUCCUUAAUCGCUGUCUUCACUUUUCCCUUCAGCUCUUCUGCUCGUCUUUUGUAUGUUUCAUCCUGUACAUGCACAGCAUUUAGUUUUUAGUUAUUCAUGGUCCUAAUUUGAAAUGAACAAGGGAAAUUUAUACGUAAUAAUAAUAAUAAUAAUAAUCAAUACCGUAUAGUUGCUAUUCAGUGACUGCAAAAAAUCAUGGUCCCAAAUUGAAGGUUGGUAGUUUGCUGAUCUCCUAUCAACUGUCAAAUUAUCAUAUUUGGUGCUGACAAGGCAUUGGACUGGCUUAUUUUUUGCCAUGAUUCUGAUGGCUGCUCUAUUUGUUGCAAGAGGAAGACAUUUGAAACCAUUUACAGAGGUAGCCAAGGUUGAGGGAUUAAUGCAAGAAGACAUUGGAUAUACAGAUGCAGUGUAAGCUAGCUUACAGGUAUACUUGGGAAGGAUUCUCAAAUUAAUCUAUGGUUUGUGGUGAUGUACAAGGUUAUAUAUAUAUAUAUAUAUAGGCAGAGAAGAAGCUCAUGUGAUUGAUUUUUCUUACUCAUUUUUUCUGAGUUUUGAAAGCGUUUAAUUUUUAAGUCUUAAUAGUACAAAGAUAUUUUAUUCUUUUUUUUGUGGGGGGGGUACAUCAUACUGUGCGAACGAGGUCAAUAUUGUACCAGAAGACACAUACAUCAUCCAUACAUUCGGAUGAAUGUUGUAUAAUCUUUUUUUAUUUAUCUUUUUUUUUCCUGCAUACAAAUUUUUUAAAGAGUCUUUCUAUAAACUACACAAUAAAUGCACGCAGAAAUAACAAGAAAUUCAUAAAUUCAAUUCUACUAAUAAAAGUUCUAUUUAUUACAUUAAAAUCUUGUUUUGUGGAGAAAUAAGAAUAUACAAACUAAGUUUAAGGAAAAAAAGGCAUACAAAGUUGCAAACAAUAUCUUAAUGUUGAGGACUAACAUCGAAAUUCUAUUUGUUACAGUUAUAAAGUACUUUUGCGGAAAACAAAUUAAUAAAUUACAAAAUGAUUAUCAACAAAAAGUAGAUUGGGCAGGUAGAUGUCAACUCAAAAGUUAGUGGGAGCAGAUUUCCGGGCUAUAUAGUACAAAUGUAUGUAUCUACUGUCUAAAUAGAUAAUGGAUUUUAAUGUAUCGGUAGAUUGUGAUAAUUUGUACAAAUUUCAGAAAACUUCCAUUUAACAACGGUUGCUGAAAGUGUGUUGUAAAAUAAUUUUAAUAUUUGACAACAAACGAAAGAAUGUUGUCAUAAACUCUUCAAUGGGCUUUCAAUUUCACAACGUCCUACAAAAGCGCGUUGUGAAAAAAAUUCUAAUAAAUGACAAUAGGUGUAAAAUCGUUAUAAAUUUUCAACUCAUCCAAUUCAUGAAUUAAUGAAAUUAAUCCAAAUUUAAUUCAUAACUCUAAGAAUUAGAUGUGGAUUUGACAUAAUUUAUAUCCCAUUGCACUUUUGCGAAUUCGAUAUCAAUUAAAAAAAAAUUCUUUCUAUCCAUUCAUAAAAUAAUUAAAUAAAUAUUUUAAUACAAAAAUAAUUUUAUUACCAAUCAAAUUCAAAUUUAAAAAUAUUAAAUAAAUCAAUAGUUUAAGUACUUGUUUAGGAACGCGAUAUAUCACCCAGCAUCUGUUAAAUCAAUCAACGUACGUUCCUAAAGAAGCAUAAUUUUGAAGCCAUAUACCAUUUCAUCUUUACUCCCUAUUCUUUCUUUAAAAAAACUAUGAAAACGCUGGAGUAAUUGGUUUCAACUUCCGUGUAGGAUAGAUGGGACGUGAUGACACGUAACGACCACUUCUGAAAAACCAUUUGUUUUUUAAGGAUGCCAUUCAAAGUUUCGAACUUUAGCCCACCAAAAGAAAAAAUCUUGAUGUUUUAGAUCAAUGAAUGAAAACUAACUUAAAUUUUAGAAUUAAAUCAAUACAAAAGUUGAAAAUUGAAAGCUUACAUAAUUAAUUGUUGUCAAUGUCCACCCUAACUAAAUUUUAACCUAUUUAUUUAUUAAUAGUAUAACAUUUUUAAAUUAUAUAUAUAUAUAUUCGAAUUUGCUGAUUUUUACGAAUUUGUAGAAGCAAAUCUAUUUCUAAUUCAUUGACGGUGGAUUUUUAAAAUUUUUUAAUCUAAUCCAAUCCAUCAAUCCAUGGAUUAGAUUUUUAUGGAAAUGAUUUUUACAGAUUGAAUGAAUGAAAUGUUAGAAAAUCAAUGGUUGAAGCAGGACUACAGCUAAAAUGAAUUGGAAUAAAAUAAAGAGCAAGCACACAUAGAGGACACAAAAAAUUACAUGGUUCGGUUUUUAGCCUACAUCGAUGGGCGAAGAUAGAAGAAAAAUAUUUUACUAGUGAAAAUAAAUUACAAAUAUUGUGGUAUUUUAACUCACUACCCAAAACCUCAAUACCCCCAAACUCUCAAAUCACUAAUAACACAAGAGUUAUUUAUUUUUCUUCUCAAAAUUUUCUGCAGCACUACCAUUUUUCUUACAUUUCAGUUUCUUGAAUGUCAAAGUCGUGUGCCGCCAAUUGUACUUCUUCAAAGAUGCUGCAGCCCUCUUUGAUUUUUCUUUGUUCAAAAUGAGCUGCUUCGAAAAUUUGGUAGCUAAUUUUCUUGACAUUCUCCCACUUCAAUUGUCAUAUUGCUUACGUCUCUGCUAGGUCACAAGCAAAUCUACUCCAUACAAACUUGUCAACAUUGAUUGGCUUGGUAAAACAUCUGCUAGGUUCUCUUUAGUAUGAAUUUUCUGCAAAUCCACACUUUCGUCUUCCAUUACAUCUCAAACAAAGUGGUAUUGUACCCCUUGUGCUUUGUCCUGGAAUGAAAGGUUGGAUUCCUUGCAAUGUGCAAGACACUCUGACUGUCACAAAAUACAGAAAUUUUCUCUUGUUUGUGUCCGAGCUCCUCCAAUAAUCUUUGUAUCCAAAUAGUUUCCUUGCAAGCUUGUGUAGCUGCCGUGUAUUCUACUUCUAUUGUAGAUAAAACCACAAUGGUCUGUAGUUUUGAAACCCAACUUAUAGCUCUUCCUGCAAGUGUAAACAUAUAGCCAGUAGUGGAUUUCCUUUUAUCAAGGUCUUUUGUAAAAUCUCAAUUCAUUUAGCCCCUGACAAUAAACUCUGAUCCUCCGUAACAUAAUGCAACAUCUGAGGUUCCUCUGAUGUAUCUCAAAAUCCUCUUCAUAAUUUUCCAAUGUUCAACACUAGCAUUCGCCAUGUGUCAACUAACUACUUUUAUUGCUUGUGCAAUGUCCAUUCUAGUACAUAUCAUCGAACAUUAAACUUUCCAUUGCUGAUGCAUAUGGUACUCGAGACAUUUCCUUGCUCUCUGCUUCAUUGCUUGGACAUAUACUUGAGGAUAACUUGAAAGUAAUAGGAAGUGGGGUAUAAAUUGGCUUACAAUCUUGUAUGUUGAAGUGCCACAAGAUUUUCUCAAGUAAUUCUUCUGAAAAAGCCAAAUCUUCCUAUUAUUUCUGUCUCAGUAAAUUUGCAUCCUUAGAAUCUUGCUUGCUGGUCCUUCAUUUCAAACUCCCUAGCCAAUUGUGCUUUUAAUUCUUAGACUUGAUCUUUGUUGGGGCCUGUUACCAACAUGUCAUCUAUGUACAAUAGCAAAAUGAUGAAAUCAUUAUCUUCAAACCUCUUGUAAUAUGCACAAUGGUUUGAACUAAGUCUGUUGUAUCCAAGCUCAUGAUAAAGGAAUUAAAUCUCUUAUACCAACACCUUUGCACCUGUUUGAGACCGUAUAGAGAUUUUUUCAACUUGCAAACCAAAUUCUCUCUGCCCUUUUCAGCAAAACCUUCGGGUUGGAGCAUAUAAAUUUCUUCUUGAAGUUCUCCAUGAAGAAAUGCAAUUUUCAUAUCUAACUGCUUUAGAUGUAGGUCAAAUGUAGCACACAUCGCCAAGAUUAAUCUGACUGUUGUAAGUCGAACCACUGGAGAAAAUAUCUCGUUGAAGUCAAUUCCUUCUUUAUGAGCAUAUUCUUUUACCACCAAUCUUUUACAAUACCGCUCCAUUUGUUCAUUGCCAUCACGCUUGACCUUGUAGACCCAUUUAUUUCCAAUGACUUUUCUUCCAUAUGGUAGUAGUACAAGUUGCCAUGUUUUAUUCUUGUGUAGAGCCUCAAUUUCUUCCUCCAUUACUGUCAUCCACAAAGCAAAAUCUGAGCUGCUUAAAGUUUCAUAGAAAGUUAAUGGCUUUUUAUCCUCUAUCAGAAGACGGCAUGCAACAUUGAUCUUUGUGACAUAAUCUGAGUGCCACAUUGGCGAUCGUCUCUCACGAGUUGACUAACGAACUUCUCCAGCCUCGGACUCAACUGGUUAUUGUUCCUCGUGCUCUGGUGCUGCUUCAGAAGAAUCUGAAUCUUUUUUUCCAGAUUAUUUUCAACAUAUACCAGCACAGUCUUUGACUUUUCUUUUACAGUGCUAUCAUCUUUAUCUCUCUUUGUAGUUGAUCAUCUACAAAGAUAACAUCUCUGCUAAUGACUAUCUUGUGGGCAGUGGGGUCCUACAGACGAUACCCCUUUCUCCAUUAGCAUACCCCAAGAAGAUACACCCAUAAAUUUUAUAUUCAGCUUUAUUUUUUCUUGGGCAUUGUACAUCACGUACACAUGACAUUCAAAUGUAUAUAGGUGGGAGUAAUCAGUUGGCUUUUCUGUCCACAUCUCCAUCAAUGUCUUUAACCUAAUUGAUGUGGAUGUCAAUCGAUUUACUAUAUAACAAACAAUUUUGGCUGCUUUUGCCCAAAAUAAGUUGGGUAGACCAGCAGUCCUCAACAUAGCUCUUAUUAUUUCUAUAAAAGUUUUGUUCAUCCACUCUACCACUCUAUUAUGUUGGGAAGUGUAUGACACUGUGAACUGCUUCUGAAAAUCUUUUUGCUUACUUUAUGCAAUAAACUUGUCAUUUGUAUACUCUCCACCGUUAUUUGUCCUCAAGCACUUUAUCCUCUUUUUGAAUUCAAGUUCUAUCAGCAUUUUGUACUAUUUGAAUACUAGAAACACAUAUGAUGUUUUCUUGAUUAGACACACCCAACAUCUAUUGAAAUAAUCAUCAAUAAAAGGCACCAAGUACUUUGCACCUCCCAUGGACAUGUCUGGUGAUUCCUAAAUAUCAGAAUGAACCAAGUCUCAAAUGCAUUUACUUCUAGCAAUAGAUCUGCUUAACUUCAAUCUAUGCUGUUUACUUUUAACACAAUGCUCGCAAAACGAUAAGUUUACCGAUUUGAGACCUGGAAGCAAUUUUUACUCAGAGAAAAUAUUCAAACCUUGUUCUGACAUUUGGCUAGGCUGGAAAUGUCACAUCAUCAUCACUCUUCUCCAUUUGAUGCGACACACACAUUAACUUUCUGUAGUGUUUUCCCUUUAAGCAUGAAUAAAUUAGCACUAAUCAUUUCCGUCUUCAUUAAUACAAGUGCACCUUUGACUAUCUUCAUGAUCACAUUUUCCACAUGAGUUUUGUACGCAUGACUAUCUAUUUGUCCUAAGGAUAAUAGAUUUUUAUUCAGGCCAUUGACAUGUCGUACCUCCUCAAUUGCGCGAACCGUACCAUUAAACAUUUUUAUUUUAACAGUGGAACAGCUCUCUCCGAGAGGUCAUGUGUUAGGUAGCUCUCGAUUCUAUAAGCCAGACAUUAUAUAGUUGUUUUCUGCCUUUUAAAAUAGUUGUUGCCUUGCUGUAGAGAAUUUCGCUAUCAUUUAAGGUACUUACUACACACCCCUGAGCAUUUGAUGAUACAGGAACUAUACCCUCUCUUCUCUUCUAGUUGUUCCAAUAAUCUUUUUUGACACACCAUUUCUUACCACAAUUGUAGCAUUUGACAUUAUUCUUACUUCUUGAUUUUGAUCUACCAUGAUUGUGACUCCUAUUGGGACCACGUUCCGUUGGUCUCCCUCUUAUCACCGAUAGUACUUCCACUUGUUGCGAACUUGCUUGCCUAUCUUCCUUAUUUUUCCGCAUGCUCUCAUUUAAUAUGGAGGCUGCAACAUCAUCGAAAGCUACACUGUUUGCUUGGUUGUUUGUCAGAUUAAUGAUGAGUUGAUAUGUGAAAAUAGAGUCUUCAAGGUGUUGAUAUGGUCGAUCACCGAUGUAAAUUUCGCUAUUCGAAGAGGAUAAAGUCUCUACUUUAAGAAGAUCAUAUUGUGCAGUGACUUGACCUCGUACAAUUUUGUAAGAGUAUCCCAUAUUUCCUUAGCUAUCUUUUUCUCUGCCAUACUAGAUAACAUCCCAUCUGCAAGUGCCAGGUGUAGAUCAGCAAUUACAUUACCGUCCAUCUCAUUCUACUUGUCAUCAGUUAUAUUUGUGGGUCUUUCUCUAAUUGUUGCUAAGCAAUUAGUUUUCCUCAAUACAACCUUCAUCUUCAUUUUCCACAACGAGAAAUUAUUUUCGCUGAACUUCUCAAUUUCAUAUUUUACUGUCAUCACUUUUUACAAUGAACUACUUUAGUUAGAAUUGGCUCCCACCAUUUCACGAGAACAAUAACUAUAUAUAUGAACAAUGUCGUAUAUAUGAACAAUACUCUAUAUGUGAACAAUACCCCGACUCUAAAAAUACAACCAGUAGCUCUGAUAUCAGUGUUAGAAAAUCUAUGGUUGAAGCAGGGGCACAACUAAAAUGAAAUUGGAGGAAAAUGAAGAAUAAACACGCACAGAUGACACAAAAAAUAACGUGGUUCAGCUUUUAGCCCACGUCCACGGACGAAAAUAGAAGGAAAAUAUUUUACUAGUGAAAAGCAGUUACAAGUAUUGUAAUAUUUUAACUCACUACCCAAAUACCAAUAAACUCAAACUCUCAAAUCACUACGAACACAAGAGUUAUUAAAACACAUGAGUUAUUAAAACUCUAUACUCUCAAUUCUUAGCUCUCUAUAAGGAAGAAGAAAAUGAGAUAAAGAAAUUGGAUGCCAAAACCAAAUGGGGAGCUCUCUUUUUAUAGCCAAAAUUGGCUAUUAUUUUAUUUAUUUUUCUUGUCAAAAUUUGCUACAACACCACUAUUUUUCUUACAUUUUGGCUUCUUCAAUGUCAAAACCGUGUGCUGCCAAUUUUACUUCUUCAAAGAUGCUGCAGCUCUCUUUGAUUUUUCUUUGUCCAAAAUGGGCUGCUUCUAGAAUUUAGCAGCUACUUUUCUUGACAUUAAAUAAAUAGAACACUCUAGCACGUUGUUAUAAUCAUGUUGCAGAUAGAACACUCUAACACAUUGUUAUAAUCAUGUUGCCUUGACCUUAUUUUCUUGAAGCAUGUUGACAAAUACAAUAAUGUGCAUUUGGAGGACUAUUAUGAAUAUAAAAACAAUAGAAAGUAUAAAUGACUAAUAAUAUACAUGACUUUAAGUGACAUGAGAUUUUUAAAACUAAACAAAGCUAACACAAGUAUAUGAUCCUUUCAUUAUAAUAUGUCGUAAAAUAAAAACUACAUAAUAUGUAUUUCUUUUAUUUUUUUAGUUUAAUUCGUUCAAUUUCUUGCAGUAACUAAAAACACUUUAGAAUUAUGUUAAGAUCAACCCAUACAAAGAAAAUAUCCUAAGUACUCCGAAGUAAUAAGCAACAUACAUAUGUGUGUGUGUUGUACAAUUUAAUAUUAUUUCAACUAGCGAAAUUUAUUGUGGAAGUCAUAAAAAUUAAGAAUGAAGAAAAGGAACCAUGAACCCAAACCAGAACGCAAAAAGUAGUCAUAUUUUUUCAUGAGGGAAUUCUAACCUGCCAAUCCAUGUGUUUAGAAUAAUCAACGAUGUUGAUAUUUCUUUAUAAUGGUCCUACAGUGAACAGAAACAUGCAGAAUACGAGUCAGGGUGUAUUGAAAAGAAUACGUAAAAACUCUUUUAAUCCCUAUAUUUUGAGGUUAGUAACCUAUAUUUUUAAGAAUACCUCAAAACUCCCUGCAGUUAAACUAUUGACACAUCUGCCUUUUUAUUUUUUAUUCCUUUUAACUUACUUCUAUAAUAUUACCUUUUUACGAUAAUUUUUUUGGACAUUAAUAAAAAGAAAAAAAUUAUCAAUUUAAACCUAAAAAUGAUACACACACACACACACAUAUAUACACUAAUUUUUCUAAAAGCUCACAUAUUGUAAAAAAGUAAUAUUGUAAAAAAAAUUAAAUUACGAACUUUUUUGGACAUUAAUAAAAACAUAAAUAUAUUAACUCAUCAGUAGAAUGCUCUAAAUUUAUUUUUUUGGAUUAAAUUAAUAAUUUAAUUUCUUUAUUAAUGUCCAAAAAAUAAACAUUAUUGUGAGAGAAUAAUAUGUAAAAGCAAGCUAAAAAGAACAAAAAGUAACGGCAGGGGUGUCAAUAAUUUAACAAUAGAGAUGUUUUGAGGUAUUUCUAAAUAUAUAGUGACUAAAAAAAUACUAACAUAAAAAUAUAGGAAUUAAACGAGCUUUCAUCCAAAGAGAAUCCAUGUAUAGCCGAUUUUACUAGAAUUUACAAGUAAAAUGCAAAUACCAUUAGUCUUCUAAAACACAUGCAACUUUUCAUCAACAACCUGAAAAAUACCAUUAGAAGAGAUACUUGUACCAUUUCCAUGGGAUCAUCAAUCUCGAAACAAAAGAGUUUUUGUGAGGCAACAUAUCAGCAUGUAAAAUGCCACUUCAUUAACUAGUAGUUGAAAAUGACAAGAAGAGCAUAAGAGAAAUUUUAGAAUACCUCUAAAGUACCAUUUCAUCUAUGCAAUAAGUAAAUAAUUAAGUGCAUUUAUUUUGAAGAACCGACAAGUAAUUAAUGGUUAUACAAAAUUUAAAUACACAUGUCAUAUAUGUAUUAAUUGAUUAUAUUAUCUUUUGGGUGCUACUAAGUUAUAAUUACUGUAACUUACAGCCCUUCAAAAUAAUGUAAACAGUUGUCAUAGGUGGUAGGACCCGUAUGAUUAUAAAAGGAAUUGUAAAUUACAGCAGCAGUAACUUAGCAAAAUCUUUAUCUCUUAUGCAUUUUAGAAUUUCUCAUGAAAGAGACACAACAUAUUUCACUUUUUUUCUUCUUGAUUUUACUGCAUUACACUAAAGUGUAGCACAUGAGCCACAUGCAUAUGAAAAUUUAGACUAGUUGGUGUAGGGCAUGUUGAGGAGUCAGAGCCUUUCCUUUCUGACACAAUGAUAACAUAGUAUAUCAGUGUGCAGUACAUAAGCACAUGCGCAUACAAACUUAGACUAGUGGUGCGAGGCUUGUUCGAGGAGCCUCUCUUUUUUUCUUUUUUUGACACAAAAUGAAAAAAAUUAUUAACCAUCAAAUUACAAUUUGAUAAGUCUGAUGAAAGAUUAAAAAAAAAAAAUAGAAAUACAUGUGUCUAACAAUGUACAUUUUAGUGUCUUUAUCAUCGCAAGUCUUGUAGGCAAGAACGACUCAACCAAUUUUAAAGUCCUAGGUGAAUUGUACUAAAAUUUUUAUUUAUUUAAGAUCAAUGUUUUCUAGCUUUCUGAAAUGUAAAAUUAUUAAUCAAAUUUUUAUGUUCUAAUUUCAUGAAUAUAUUUUUCUCAAUAAUCAAUAUAGCUAAUCCAUUUGUUCUCUCUUGCGAGAUUGUUAAUUCUAAAUAUGUUUUUAUAAAUUUUAAUUUUAAAAACUUCUUUCUACAGAAACAAUUGUUAGUAGUACUAUUAAUAAUAUUCUAUAUGCAAUCUAUGCAUUUGAGAAAGAAUCAAUUUGUUUUCAAAUAAUUAAUUAGUAUUUUUUCACCUUGAAAUACUUCAUUUAAAAUCUCAACUCUUAAAACAAAUAUUCACCAUCUAUAUCAGAAAGUGUAUCAUGUUUUAAAGUAUUUUCGAGAUUAACACAAUAAAUAUUUAAAAUGUAGUCAUUUAACAAUUGUAAUUUUUUGAAAUUAAACAAAAAUCCAACCAUAUUAUCAUAUAUUUGAAAUUAUUCACAUAUAGUCUUAUUGUAGAAAUAACUUGAUCUACUAUAUAUAUAUAUAAUAAUUAAUUCUAAAGGACUCUUCAACAGACAAAAUUUCCUCUUCACUAACAUUUUCAUUAAAUUUGUUUCUUUUUCUACAAAUUAUACUUUUUUCAUGAAAUUUAGGUUCUAUUUCCAUUUCACUUGCAAGUUCUCUUGCUGAAAUCAGAGCAGACAUGAAUCCAUCUUUUCUAUUUCUUUCAAAGAAAGAAAUAAGACCUUUAAGCUUAUCUAUGGCAAUAUCAGUAUGUACGUAUUCUUUUUGCAAGAUCAUACUUUGUAAUACCCCACCCCGCUGCUUUGACUAAUUUUGACUUGCUUUUUUAUUAUAUAAAAAUGUUGGGAAAAUAUGCUCUUUAAAAGCAUAUGUGUUUAUUUAAUUGUAAUAAACAAAUUUUCUGAUUAAUAAAAUAAAUGAGGUAUUUUAUUCAAAUAUCUUAAUUGCAUUAAUAUUUGUAUUAAAGUCCAUUUAAUCAUAUUAUAUGUAUUUAUGUGAUCACCAUGUGGAUUCACAGAAUGAAUUUAUUACAGUCUAUACCUAAAUAAAGUGCCCAACUUUAUUUAGUUCACAGAAGAUAUAAAUACAAGUUAUCUUAUGAUUAAAUAAAUUUAGUUCGCAGUUGAUAAAAUAAAGUUGGGCACUUUAUUUAGGUAUAGACUGUAAUAAAUUCAUUGAAUGAUUUGUCUUAAUCAUAUAUGAAUUUAUUACAGUCUAUACCUAAAUAAAGUUAUCUUAUGAUUAAAUAAAUUUAGUUCGCAGUUGAUAAAUAAAGUUUGGCACUUUAUUUAGGUAUAGACUGUAAUAAAUUCAUUGAAUGAUUUGUCUUAAUCAUAUAUGAAUUUAUUGAUGUAGUACGACUACAUUGAACAUCAUACUACAUUGAACAGGAUCACAUAUGAGAUUUAAUUAACUUUGUAAUAACUGUCAGACUUAUUAAAUCUCAUAGGUGUUGAUUUUACUGUAAUCUUAAUCUUGAGUUAAUUAUGAUUUCAUGAUUGUAAUUGUUAUUCCAUUUGAGUUACUAAUGGGCACGGCACAUCCUUGUGGUCAAGAUUACCCGGUAUUUUGGUGGGAGCAAUUAUGAGUAUUGGAGUUAUGGAUUAACAAUAUAGAAUUUGUACAACACAUCUCUUGAUGGGUUUUCGGCACUUGAUCAUAGAAUUCUCUGGCCAGAGUGUGUCAACAUAUUUAGUAUGUUGAAAAUGAUCAUUAGAGAAAACCAGUAAGAAUCAAGGAAUAAGAUAUUAUUAAAUUGAUUGAACAGUUGAGAUAUCAAUUUAAUUAACGAUGUGGUACAAAGGAUUGUGCAGUAAAGAAAUCAAUGUGGCUUGGACCGAAUUAUUAUUCGAGCAUACAAUUAUGGAAGUCAGUACCAAUCUUUUAGUGGAGUAGAUUUGGAAUUAAAUAAUUGGGCUAGUUUAAUUACAGGCUUAAUUAUUGUAGCCACUAUUGUAUGUUCCCAAAUGAUCCCCGGGUUAGUUCAUUUAAUUGAUUGCACCACUACUAGACUAAUAAGUAAGAUAACUAGCUAUUUGGGUCAAAAGUCUAAAUAUAUCAUUUAGUGGGAGGCUCUAUUCAAUUAGUUUUUGUGUAAGGGGCCUUAUGUUAUUUUACAAGGUGGGUCCCCUAUUAAAAAAGCAAAUAACGUGGGUUUUGUUUUUCGAUUAUUUGGAGCCUAAGGUUUUUACUAAAGGGAGAUAUAAAAGGCUUAUUUUUCUCUAAAGAAAAGGGUGAAGCUACUUUAUAUGGAUCAGAGAAAAUGAUUUUUCUCUCUAUUGUUGAGAGAAAAAUUUUCUCGUGCUAGUUGCUUUGGUAGUGAUAAAGGCGCCCACACGUCAAGUGCAGAUCGAACCUGAGUCAUAACCUGGAAGAUCAUUGGUGCCAGUUCGUGUUCUAACAAGCGUGGUGGUGACGGAUCGUGAUCUAACAGGAGUGGUGGUGACGGAUCGUGAUCUAACAGGAGUGGUGGUGACGGAUCGUGAUCUGGGAGCCUAAAUCAUUUCAGCAGAAAAAGCUAAAUCAGAUUUUCAAGGUACGAUUUCUAGAUUACAAAUUCUUAUAUAUUAUAUGAGAGCGAUCUUAAAAAGGUUUUAUAAAAAUUAAAAAACUUGAUUUUUCCCCAACAAAAAAAAGGAAGCUGGAAAUUGUUUAAAGAAGAGGAAGCAUAUUCACACGUGAGAAAGAGAGAAAGCUGCCAAAACCGACUCGGAAAACCUAACCCAUGAACCAACCUGGCCACCAUUUCUCGUUCCCGACCACCCCACCAGCAACGGGAGGUACCGAUUAGAAGCUUUAGAACCAAUGGUCACUUCCCCGCCAUUGUUACCGUUGAAUAACGACCAGAACGCCGUCAUUUGGGCUCGCAAAACUUGCAGUAUUUGCCACCUCCAUUCACCGUGAUUUCGCUGGUUUUGGGUGACGCCACCGACUGGGUUCGUUCCUCAGGUCACUACCUUCAUUUUUUGACCACCCACAUCACCAAAAAUAGUUGAUUUACUGCCAAUCGACCGCCAAAGUGUUCACGGCUUUGGGAGCUCAAUCCGGUGCCUCCGUCGCCACCGUUGGAUUCAACGCGACAUGAAGCUUCUAUCCCGACCUUUCCCAUCACCACCGUAUGAAUUUAGAUCACCGUUGGUCGAGGAGAGCAUUUUAGUAAUUUUUUAGAAUUAGAGGGUAAUUUCUUAAAUUUUUGAUUUCAUGAAUAUUUCAGUGAUUUCUGAUUUGAGAAUAAGAAUCUAAGGGUAGUUCGAUAAAUUAUGAUUUUGAGGAUAAUUUGGCAACUUGUGAUUCUGAGAUUUCAGGGGCAUUCUAGUAAUUUAAAUUUUGGUAUUUUUGUAAUUAAUUAUUCAAAUUGAGAUUAAUUGAGGUUAAGUUUAGAGGGUGUUAUAUUGAGGAAUUUGAGAACAAUAGAGUUUAUGAUUUCAUAUGAUUUUAUCUUAUAGGAGUAUUUUUUAUUGAUUUUAGGUCGGUGAUAUCGAUACAUAUUUGUUACUUGAGGAUGCUAGAAGGUAAGUAAACUAGAUUUCUAAAUGAGUCAUAAUAAAUAAUAUGUACAUGUUUGACAUGUUUGAAAAGCUUAUUUUGAUAUAUACGGAUAUGGAUUUAUAUGCUCUGCCCAUGUGUUUAUAUGAUGUGUUAAUAGGAUGUAUUGUUAUGUGUUAUGUGUGUUUAUGGACAUGGACAUAUGUCUGUGUGUAUGUUUCAAUGGCAUUAGCACAAAAAUGUAUUAUGUUUUUUGUGAAAUGAGAAAGCGGAUUUUAGCCAAACGGAAUUGAAAGAAAGAAAAUCUUACACUAUGUAGUAGCAAUCCUUAUGAAUUUCCUCGAGGUGAUGAAUGUUUUCGUUAUUCAAAGCUAGGCCAUACAUUAAACCAAUGUCCAGAACGAAGACAACAAAUAGUCAAUUUGGAAACUAAUGUAGAGGAAAAUGGAAAGCCUAAGGAUGAACUAUAUAAAGACAAUGACGACAUAGAAAAGGAGGAAGAGUGGACAUAUUGAGACAUAUGAGUAUCACUAGUAACACAACAUUCGUUAUACACACAAAAGAAAGACGAAGACACUCAGAGACAUAAUAUCUUCAAAACAAGGUGCACAAUCAAUGAGAGGGUAUGUGAUGAUUAUUGACAGUGAUAGUAGCAAGAAUAUAGUUUCGAAGAUUAUAAUUGACAAGUUACAGCUUAAAACUCACAAACAUCCUUCCCCUUAUUGCAUUAGAUGGAUAAAAGAUGUUGGAGAGAUCAAGGUUACUCAACAAUGUUGUAUUCAUUUUUUCCAUCAGAAGACAUAAAGAUGAAGUUACUUGCGAUCUUGUUGACAUAAAUGCUUGCCAUUUGCUUUUCAGGAGACCUUGGCAAUUUGAUCUUAAUAUGGUACAUUAUGGGAAAGAUAACACAUACAGGUUCUAUAAAGACAACCUAGAAGUUAUCCUUGCUCCGAUAAAGUCAAAUGUCAAGGGAACUUAUCUUUUACUACAAAAGAGAUAGCUGAAGAAGAAUCGAUGCCUGAAUAAGUCCAAUCGCUACUCUCAUAAUUUCAGGAUAUCGUGCCUAAAGAGCUUCUUAACAAGUUACCUCCUAUGAGGAUUACCUAUGACUCAAAUUAAAAGAGAACUUCUAAUGGUUUGCCCUUACAAGUCUACUAUUUUUAGAAGAACCAUACUAAAAAACAAGAAGAAAUUGAAGUUUUAGUACUUUUGAGUUUUAAGAAAAGUUGAUGCAAAGUGCUACACUUUUGCAGUGCAAGAUCAAUUACUCCUUCAUUAAAAGAUUUAUCCUCUAGAUUGUCCUUUAUUUUCAGCAAAACUUGAGGACGAGUUUUUUUUUUCGAAGAGGAGCAGACUGAUGUUGUAACACUCCACUAAAAUAUCUAUUUUAAAAAUGUUUAAAACAUAGUUAAAUAUGAUUUCUAAAAGCUUAACACAACAAACAAAAUUUUCUUCAUAAAGUAAAAGUCAUACAGAGAUUUAAUAGUUUAUUUCAAAACUUGAUUAUUACAUAAAGCUAAUAUGUUUAAUUUUUAUUUAAACAAAGCUGAGCCCAUCUUAAAAUCCCAAGGUCUGUUAUGCCCAUAUGCACUUCGUCUUGCUUAGGACUUGGCGCCAGCUUGCCUUACUCAUCAUUAUCUGCAAUGUAAGGACUUUAUGAGCUAAUGCCCAAUAAGAUAAUACUUUUAUGAAUGUAUAAAUUAUGAUGCAUAUGGAUGACCAUCUUAAGCUUUUAAAAUAAACUUAAAAAAUACAAAACAACUUCAUUAGGGCCCUAGGUAUGUUGCACUACAAGGUUGGCACUUUUACUCUUUUAAACAAUAUGCCUUUGGGCCUCAUUAGUUGAUCUUUUAGGCGUUAUGUAUCGCCGUCCCCAAAAGAUUUUUUAUUAGUUAGCUUUAAGGGCUUGCCCUCCUUAGAAACUUUGCCACCUGGUGGUACAACCACUUAUUUUUCAUAAAUUCAUUUUCUGAAACGCCUUCUUCAUAAUGUAAUCCAUGAUAUGCAUGCAUUCAAUGCAAAUUAUGUCAUAAUAUUUGAAGUUCCUAAAUGCAUAAAAGAAUCAAUACAGAACACUAUUUAAGAACAAGAUUCUUUAAUACAGGUGGCACAACCGACCAUAACAUAAAUAAUUAUAAGUAUCACAGAUUAGGCGACAGAGCCGACCAUAACAUAACUAAGCAUCGUAAAUAGGCGGCAGAGUCGACCAUAACAUAACUUAUCAUCGUAGAUUAGGUGGUAAAGCUGACCAUAACAUAACUAAGCAUCAUAGAUUAGGCGGCAUAGCUGUUGGUUAAUUUAACUCGAUUGUUAUUGAUGUUAAUGUGCAAGUGUACACAACAAUUGUCAAUUUAUACAAAGUUGCUUGUAUUAUUUCUAUCUGUAGGUUGGGUUAAAGUUGAUAUGGAUGGUGUACAAAAUGAUAAAUUUCACUAUUAUUCAUUCAUAAUAAAGUUGAUUGACUAAUAACAUUAACAACGCAAUAAAGUAACGGCAAUAAUAAAGUAAACUGAACAGCUUGCACAAAUAAAAUUCAAUAAGGAUAAAGUAGUUGAAUGAUCAAACUCUCUUCAUGGGCUGACUGUUUUGUUUAGACUAACACCAGUUGGUGCAACAACUCCUAUAGCACUGGGCAGACUUAUGCAACCUAACAAUGACCAGUCGUUAUAUUACGAACAUAUACUCUCUUUACCCUACAAAGUGAAUCAUUAUAUCUAUGUCAUCACAAAUCUUAAUUCAAGUGUGGCCCUCUUGAGACUCAAGUUAAACUCAAUCUAGAAAACUUAAAUUAAGAUCAAAUAUUACUCUAAUAAUUUCCAUUGAGACAGACCCUUUUGUGGCUCUCUCUUAACUUGAACCAUUAAAUGAGAGGUCAAUCGAAACAAUGAUUGUAAUACAAGCUAUUAAAGCAAAAUGCUACAGCAAUGUUGCAGCAACUCAUAAGAACAGUCAAGAACCCAUUUAGAUCGUUUGUCACUCAUAACUUGUAAAAGAAAAACAAACAGCAAAGUAUCAGCCAUGAAAUACAUCGUUUUAAUCAAGGAGUAAGUAAGGGGGCAGUAAAGAAUGAUGAAAAUUGAAUCCAAAUAGUUCUAUAGAUUUCUUCAAUGGUGCAGACUUGUCUCUCUUGAAUUCUGCUCUUUCCUUAUUUUCUCUUGAUUUCUUCGAUGUUAAUUCACCGCCCCCUUUCUAUAUGAUGCGUGCUCCUUUUAUAAUUGAAAAUUAGAGUAAACGGAAGCCUAGGGCACGCAUGAGUCAGAUUAGAAAACUGCAGAUCACGAUUCUCCAAGUAUCCUACGUGGAAUUUUCUCUAUCAUUGUUCCAAGAUUGCUACAGCAAUAGCUACUACAGCAACGGCUACAACAACUGCACUGUUCCAGAUUUGUUUCAAGUCUUUUGUGGCUAAGUUCUUUUCCAUCUUUUACAAGCCGAUUGCAUCAGCAUUCCUUCCUUAAAACUUGAGCUUCCGAACACCUACAAUUACGCACACAAUCUAGGCACAAAUUAUUUUAAAUCAAACAAAAUUUAUUACGACUAAACUAAAAUGAAUGUUUAUGCGAAAUAUAACAAAAAUGCAAUAGAACACAACAUUUACUCUCUAAAUAAUAUCGAUUUAAGUCUAAAAGUGCAUUGAUAACUCUCAUUUCCUAGAGUUAUCAAUAGCCGACCAUAUAAGAAUUUAGAUUAUAACUAAUAACAUCAUAAUAGCCAUCACAACAUAAGGAAAUCGUUAAAACUGAAGUUAAGUAUGAAAAGAAUUUUGUCCUUACAUUGCAGUUGAAGUGUUACUUACAUCUUGGCCUUGACUUCUCUAGACAUUUCUAAAUUAAGGAUUUCUAUACACUUGAUAUUAUGACUUAGAAUAGAAUUCAAUUUUGGCGGGAAAUUAUUUAUGAUAGAAUAUAUGAUGGCUUUUCCAUCAUAAAGUUUUGAUUUUUUUCUAAAAUUAUAUUAUAAUUUAUUAAUGAAUUCCUGUUUACAAAUUUAAUUAAUUAAUAAAACAAAUAUAAUAAAAAACUUAAUAUCAAUUAACAUUCAUUCAAUCCAAAAAUUAAUUUAAAAAGAAAUACAUCUAAUAUCUAAUGUGAUCUCCACCAAUACAUAAUAAAACAUCCCAAAUUGAAAAAGUCAUCCCAAAAUAUAAAAUUGCAGUCAAAUUCCAAUCAAACUCUAAGAAAAGCAAUAAGAAUUCCGGCCACCAAGCCAAGUUACCCAACAAAACUUCCAAAGAUUAAUGCAAGUACUCCAACAAUAAGAUUUCUAGCAAGACUUCCUGUAAAAAUUCCAGCAACAAUAUCAUCUUUCGACAGCACUCUAAACGAAAAUUGAAACUUACAAAGCGACCUACAAGCUUCCUGUGAACAAAAUUGAUUCAAACACCAAGCAGAAUAAGGAAAAUUAAGAGGCUGCAAUACAUGUGGGCAUCAAAUAUAGUAAUCCAUUUGAUUUAAACUGACUUAACUUUUAUGGAAUGAGCAAAAUGUACAUACUCAAUGGAUUAAAAUUACUUUUAGUGAAUGGGAAUUCAUCAAAAUCAGCAAGCUAGCUAAAAAUGCAAAGGAAGCCACAACAAUAGACCAGUGUAAGGAGACAAAAAUAAAUCAUAAAGUCAUAAAAAGCAAUGGCAUCCAGAUCCAGCUGAACUGAUCAACCAAUGAAAAGGAAACCAAACAACCAACUUUGACAAGCUUAUCUCAACCAACAGCACUAAUUCUAGGCCUGUAACUUGCCUACGUAUUUAAAAUAGCAAAUAGUCCAAGUUUAACAUCAAUUUUGACAAGAAACACAACAAACAGAAAAUGUAACAAAAACCAAAUCAGAGGCUAAGCAACAUACUGCAGCCAUUAUGCCACACAAGAACAUAAAUAUUGCAAUUUGUAGUAGCCCUCCAAGAACAGCGACAUGUCCCACUGCUUUUAACUGCAUUGAUGAUGAAUUAUGGAAUUGGAACAAAUUUUAUGAACAAAGAAGGAAAAUGUUGUCAAUAAUUAUCAUACACUUUCCAAGCACAGAAUGAUUUACCUUUUGUCAAAGAAAACUCUAGCCCCAAAGCAAAAAGAAGGAAGACAACACCAAAUUGUGCAAAAGUUUCAACCUGUGAUGAAUGAAACAAAAAGGAACUUGUUACCUAGAAUAAUGAUCGCAAAAUAAACAGAAGAACAAAUACACCACAAGAAUCUCUACCAGAUAAUAACUAAUAGUAGUUUACUGAAUAUCUACCAAUUCACUUAGGCUUAAUGAGCUAAAUGAAAAACUUUUCAUCAGAAAGUUAAUAUCAUAAUGAGGGAUUGAUAGUUAAAAAACUGGAAAAGUUAAAGAGGAACAUAUUGUUUUUUUAGGCCAGGUUUUCUUCAAAAUCUCUUGAUGUGAAAGUUCUCAGCUUUCACAACAAAAAACUAAAUUUUGCAGUGAAGUAUUGUUGGACCGAUUACCAUAGGUUUUAUCAAAUCAUAACUAAAGCAGUACCAUAACCAUUCUCGAAUUAAUUUACUCACUCAGCAUUAUAUCACCUUUAUGCAUCCUUUUAUAUUCAUCCAGUAUACUUCCAAGAAAAUCCUGUCAAAAUAGCGUAUGAACUAAGUGUCCCGAUACACAUUACCAACUAGCCAUUAUUUAUUUGUUUAUUUUCUUUAGCAGUAACUAGAAUAACUAUAGCUAGAAGAAGAAAUAAUCAGAGUGCCAAUGCAUAAACUACAGAAUAUACAUUCUACACCAAGAAAUUGAUUAACUGAACUAUUUACAAUCCUGAAAUAACCCAAGGUCAAGAAACGGCUAAAUAUGCUUCAAGACCUGAAUCUUACUAGCCCAUGUCCAUAAAUUGUAAGCGAAAAUCAUUAAUAUAUUUUUAAACAGUACUUGUAAAAUAAGUGUUCCAAUUGUAACUUGACCAUGAAGAGCAUUAUUGCUGUUCUGUUCUACCAAAAAUUUCACCACCUAGCACAGGUAACAGGAAAAGCAUGAACCAGAUAGAAAUUCACAAGUGGAAGCCAAGAUGAAAAGAGGAAUUCGAUUGUCAAAAAAAUGGUGUAGAAGAAUACCACUGCAGUUGAUGACAUAUAUUACUGGUUUUUUUUUUUUUUACAAAAAGGCUUUAUAAUAUAUAUAUAAAAAAUUGAAAUAAAAAAACUAGAAAAUAAAAAACAAAGCAAAAUAAAACAACCAAAAACCUAAAUCCCCAAAUAACCAAAUUGCCUCCCUCAGCCGCCCUCUCUCUCACGCGAAGCAACAGCCAAAAACCUAAAUCCCCAAAAUCACUCACCCUACCAUCCGUGAAGCAACAACAAACAACAGCCGACAGGCACACCUUCACUGCCUCACACACCUAAACAACAAUUACAGCCAUCACCCAUCAACAACCCAGCAGCACGCGAUGCAGUAGCGACCCAACAGAAUCAGCAGCGUGACGUAGCAGCAGCCACUCCCACGCGACAUAGAAGCAGCCACUCGAACCCCGCGCGACACAGCAGCAAUAAACCCAGCAUUUUAAUACUACUAGCAAAAUGGUGUCGACAGCAAUGGGCUACAAUUUUUAAACAACAUUGCCGGCAUAGUUACAAUAUAAUUGAAUGGCGGCGAAAGGAUGGUGUUUUGCUCGGUCGAUUGAGUGCAAGGUUGAUUUCUAGGGUUUGGCCAUGAGAGAGUGAUGAGUGUUUGGGUGUGAGUGUUAGUGAUUUUGGGGCUUGGUGGGUCAAGACAAUAGUGUUUUUCUUUUCUCUUUUUUUCAUUUUUGAAUUAUUAAAAUGCACCUUUUUUAAAAAAUAAAAUAAAAUAUUAAACUUUAGGUCAAACAUAGUCAAAGUAAAUUUUUUAUCAUAAUUUCUUGAUAGAGAAAAUUUUUAUCACGAUUCUAUCAUAAAUUUGUGAUAAACAAUAAUUAUAUCACAAAACCAUCAUAAAUUUGUGAUAGAAAAUAAUAUUGUCACAAAAUCAUCAUUAAUUUAUGAUAGAUUGAAAAUUCUAUCACGAGUCUGUCAUAUUAUUAUGAUAUAAGUUGAAUCUGUCAUAAACUGUCUGUCAUCUAUUAUAUGUUUUCUUGUAGUGAUUCUCUACCGCCAGAACCUCCUCUAAUUUCUGGCGACAUCCCCACUAAUCAGCAGCCCUCACAACAACUAUUAACACUUCAAACCAUAAACCUUAGACUGCAACAAACCUUUCAAAAUAUGCUCCACGCUUUCGCCACAUUGCCUGCCUCAAUUGGUGGCGAUUACUUGCUGACGGAACCACCAUUGAACCUUAUGUACUCUAAACAACUGUCAGCAGCCUCUCACCCUCCAGCUGCCACCAAACCCCUCAGGCACCAGUACACACGAGCACAACCAAAACUCAGGCACCACUUAUUGCCCACCAUCUGUGACUCCUUUUACCGAGACAAAUCCCCCUAGUUGCCAUAUAUCUCACCAACACCUCGCUAUCUCCCCAUUGAACUUUUCAAGAUCAAAUAUGGUGGUAGCCGUUGUAGAUCCAAGAUCAGCUAAAUACCUAUCUCUGAUACCAGUUUGUUAAGUUCUGAACAAAAGAAAGUCUUUCCAAGAUUGAAUCAAACCAAGAAAAUAGAAACUUAUAUAAACCAGAACAACGAGCAAACAAGAGAUUAAAAGAAAAGGAAAGAAAAAUAACAAGAUCAUAUAACGUGGUUCAGCAACAAGAUGCCUACAUCCACAGUUGAAAUCAGGUCUGCUUUGAAACUUUAUUAGAAAGAUAUGAGUUAUAGAAGAUUAUUGAGAUUACAGAGAUUAAAUCUUCUCUAUUGAGAUUUUUUCUCCCUCUCUCACAAAGACUAUCAUAUCAUCACUCUCUUGACCACAGUCUGCACGCUGCAAUUCCUCUUAUAUAUCUCUUAAAGAGUAAAAGCAUGAGUUGUCAUACAUAAUAACGACUUUAACAGCAGAUGGUCCCACUAAUGCCAGCUCAGCACGCCACCUUAUUCACUCUUAAAAUAAUAUAACUACGCCAGGCCUCACAGAUUUUUAAUUAAAAAAAGCAUAAAAAUGACAGUUGAAAAAUCGAUCUAAAAUGGUAAGACAUGGGAAGUUUUCCGGAUAUUAAAAUAUGAAGAAUUUUCUCAUGAAGGGCCUUGCACUUCGAUCUUUUGCUGCCUCUUAACAUGUUGUGAACAGAGAGUGCUUCUGAGUGUCGCUCCCAUUUUACCAAGAUGAAAAAUUAGGGAGGAGCAGAGUUCCCGCAAAACAGCAUAGCUGUGAUAAGUCUUUCGCGUUGCAAUCCCGUAGUAAAAGUUCAUUUGUCUAUGACCACUUUCAUACCUCCUCCGGCUGGUGGCCUUUACUCAGGGGUGGCUUUAGGUAUAGGCGAACAAAGCGGUCGCCUAAGGUCCCAUAUUUUGUGAAGGCCAUAUUUUUUAAAUUUUUUUGAUAAUUCUCAUUUUUUUAAGUUACGUAUUUUAGGAAAUCAAAAAGCUUAUUAAUAUCUCUCUAAUUAUUAAUUAUCCUACAGUUAAGAAUUAAUUUUUUAUGAAAAAUCUAUAUUUGAUAACAUUAAUGUUAAAUAGAUAUAACUAAUAAUAUUAUUUAAUCAUUAAUUCAUUCAUUAUUAGUCUUUCAAAAAUAAAUUAAUUAAUUAUCUUUUCAAUUUCCUCAAAAAAAUUAAUUAUUUAAUGUUAGAAUAUUUGACUUUUAGUAUUUCUUUUAAUUUCCAUUAAAAACUUUGUAAUCUCAAAAAUCAGUAAAUAAAAAUUUUUUUUCCUCACUUCUCUAAAAAGAAAAAUAUUAUAUUCAUUGGUUCAUUUAAAAAAAUCAAUUUAUAGAAAUACAAAGUCCAUUUCUAUUAUCUGAUCAUUAAUUUAUCAUCUCAACUUUUUAUAUUCUAUCAUUCUAAAUAUCCUAUUUGAAAAUAAUAUUAUUUGUAUUUAUUUGAUUGUUUAUUUUGUAAUAAUUUUAAUGGAAUAAAAAAUGUCUUCUUAACUUUUUUUUUAGGUUUUAUUUUUAAAAUUCAAGAAUUACAAAUGAAAUAAAUUUUGAGCUUUUUUUUUUAUUUCUUUGAGUAUUGAAAUUGCAAAACAAAUAGAGGCCUCAUAAAAAAAUUUCGCCUAAGGCCCCAAACACUCUAAAGCCGGCCCUGCCUUUACUAUGCAUGUCCAUCAUAGUCCGAUAAGCAAGCAUAUAAAAUUUUAAUCCGGACUAAUUCGUCCAAUUUCCUCAUAACAUGCAUUACGCUCUCCAUAGCACCUGCUCUGCAGUAGGCAUAAAGCAUGCAAUUUAAAUCACAUUUGUCAUGCUUGACUUCAAAAUACCCAGCCAAUUUGCCUCUUCAACAUCAACCGGACCACCACGUCCUAGUUCUUCCGGUUCCCUCAAUCAACAUCAACCGUUGAUUGUACGAUGCUUUAAAUCCUAUGGUUAUUAUUUUUUUCCAUAUUUUUAAUUUCAUGGGGUUUAUCAAUGGAACUGGUGCGUAGUAGUCGUAGCCUUAAUUAAUUUAGAAUACUUUUGAGUUGCGUUAACAGGCAGCAGUCACAAUCAACUUCAUCGCUUUGUAAAUUUCCAUUACCACAGAGUCAACAGUCAGGCUCAUGAAAAGAAAUUAUUUGUAUUUUUCUUAUUAGCAUAAAAUAAAUAAUGAAAUAAAAAUAAAGAUUUUAAUAUUUGAAUUUUGAUUUAAGUCCUAACUUAUGUGUAGCUAGAGGCGAAGUUUUGAGAGGACUAGAAAGAUUGAACCCAAGUCUCUACCCUCAUAUUUUAUAAACACAGACGACAUUGUUGGAUAUUUGUUUCUAGAAAUGAAUAUGAUAAUAGAAGAUAAUUAAAAUGGACUAAUCCAACAAUUAGGCGCUCCUUCUUUAAGCUAACCCAAUAAUUUGGAACUCAUUUUUUUGUUAUAUUUACUUUUUUAUCCUUGUAACUUUUUUCUUUAAAUGCCACAGCUCUAAUUUCUAUCCUCAUUUAAUUUAAAUGGGUACGAUUUGUCAAAUGCGAUUUAAAUGGGUGGUGCAUGUAUACUGAAAGUAGCCCUUGUGCUUAGCAUGCUAUGAACCAUGCUUGAAUAAUCGAGUAUAACUGCAUCCAUCCUCAUCUUGUAGGAAUUGGAAUGAUCCUGACUUAAGAAUAUGCAUAUACUGACGACUUUUAUUCUCAAUAAAAGCAACAUAUAUAAAUAUCAUUUUCUUUUCAUUUAUAGACCUCGAUGAAUGGGGGAGUUUAUUAUAUUAUAGAAAAGCGAUCCCCCAAUAGAAAGAAAAGUCUGGCCAACAUCAACUGAAACUGCACUCUGGGAAUUCAUCAGCCUUUGGUGCUGUGAAAGCCAUGUGUUUGUCCUCCAAGGGCAUGGGCUGAAAAAGCCAUGUAGAAGCUACAUCCAUAGUCUCUUGGUUUUGAGCACCGUGCCCAUCUCCGUGUAGAUACAUAAAAUGGGACAUUCUCACAAGAUUCAACAUGAAGUCAACUGUAUUUUGAGAUAAGGGAGAAUCUUUAUCAGCUCUGUAUGCAUUCACCUUCUUCCACAUCUGUCUCAUCAUAUCCUUGAUGUGUUCACGAGCAACUUCCUCCGAGGCACCAGUUUCAUGCAUGUAACACUGGAUUGAUUUCGGAACAUCCCCUCUCUGUAUCUCAUCCUGAUGAAUUAUUGGGGAAAACAAUUACACAAUCAAUUCGUGUAUAGAGGAUUAAUUCAAUUUCUAUCUUCUUAAGAAUCAAAAGAAAAUAAAAGAAAACAUACCGACGAAGUUCCCAAAUCAUCUUGAAGACGAAAAAUCUUGCAUGACCAGCGAACGAAAUCUGGAUUGCUUUCUAGAAAUUCUAGUUCCUUCUGAAUGAUUGGAUUUGUACCAGAAAGGUACGCACUCAUUGUUACUAUAGGGCCUGCUAUUGACACCAAUCCAUUUUCCAAGAAUUCUCCCAGUGUUGGUGUGUACUUACUAUGGUACCAUUUCGCCUCCACUAAGCCGGCUUGUAUUAAGCCAAGCCACUGAUGCACAUGAAAUAGAAAAUAAAGCUAGUUACAAUUUAUUAUUUUUGAGACAAAAACAUCGUAAUUUAAAAAGGAUAAAUCAAAGGAACGGAACGGCGGGAGAGGCAAAAUUAACAUUUUACAUACUGAAUUUUUAAUACUCCGAAGCAUAUCAAAAUCCUGUUGUUUGAGUACGUAAUAAGCAAAUUCAUUAACAAAGUUGUAAAGCGCAAAAAACCACAAUUUCAUGUAGUCCGGAAGGUGGUUCAAAGCAUAAUGGAUGUCCCACCUGUAGAAAAGAGAAAAAAAAUAUUAUAAAUGGUCUACUAAUUUGAGUCUUGAGAAGUAGCAGGCACCUAGCUUGCAAUUGAAUCAAUCGAUUAAAUAUAACAUUAGUUUGCCAACAAACCUCUCAACAGCAGCAGUGAAUAGCUCAAGUUCGUCCAAAGUUCCAUAAACAUCAUAAAUGUCAUCAAUCACUGUAAUUAGAGCUAUUGCAAUUGUGACUGUUUGGGAGAAAUACGUCGACGAGACCAGGCAUGGUGAGCAGAUAUCUGAUGGCAGAGUUCUGCGAACCGGUGUGUUCCGUAAAAGCCUGGUGCGCGGGGGAACAGGAGCAAAAAUAUCCUGCUCGUCCACGAGCACGUCAUCCGCGAGGCAAAUUUCCUGUAAGAGGCAUAAGGCCAUUCCGGCUAGAGGUCGAGAGGCGAGGAGACCCGGUCGACGGCAGUAGGCAAGGCAUGCUCUCCAGCCCGAGAAUCUAGGCACGACAGCCACGCUUUCCCCAGAACCGUGGCGUAACACGCAAGAUCCCACGUUUGCCCAUAACGCAGCAGUCGGAGUCCCAUACCGUCCCCCAAAAAAGCGGAAACAAGAUCUCACAAAACCACGACAGCCACGCUUUCCCCAGAACCGUGGCGUAACACGCAAGAUCCCACGUUUGCCCAUAACGCGGCAGUCAGAGUCCCGUACCGUCUCGAAGAAAGCAGAAAACUGGGAUUCAAAGGAAGCCUAUAAAAAGGUAGCCAACGAAGGUAAAUGGGUUAGCAUUUUUGAGAUUAGAAAAGAAAUUCUAAAAGAGAGAAAACAACCUAACAACCAUAAGAUUUGUGGCAAGUGUUCCCCGAACCUUCAUAUCUGACUUGAGCGUCGGAGGGUUUGCGCCGGGAAAACAACCGGCGUACUCUGACCUGUCUGUGUGCGCAGGAACCUCUGGAGAAGAAGCCUUGCGAGGAGACCCCCUGGUCGUGAUGAAGUUGAUCGAGCAGAGAUCCUGGUCGUAGAACGAGGAGAACCGGAAUCUCGCAUCAACAUUUUGGCGCCGUCUGUGGGGACCAGAGCAAAAAGCUUCUGUUGAUAGCAAGAAGAGGGGUGAAGCAAGUGAAAAGCAAUGGAGACAGGAGGAAGUAGUGCACAAGGGGGUGAUAGGAGGCUUAACGAUUCCGUGACGCUGAGGGAGAUAGUCAGUGAAGCACGGGGAAAAGUCAUGUUCGACCGGAUGGAACGGAUGGAAAAGCAAAUGGAGACCUUGACAACCAUCCUGCAUGAGCUGCGGAGCGAGCGAAGGGUAACCCAAGAGGGAAGGGUGAGAGGCGGUGGAGUGGCACCAGGUCCCGAUAGUGCGGGGAGAAGUCAAACCACUGGGAGAUUUGGUGGUGAGAGAGGUAACGUACCUCUGCGGGGACAAUUUCAUAGAGAAAGAGAGCAGUCCCCGGCAAGACAGACUGGUGACGAGGACGACGGGGUGGUGAAUGCAGAGGAAACAGAGUUGAGGCAACACUUGCAUGAUGUAGAGCAAGAGUGGGAUCAAGUUGCAGCACGUGACCCUGGUCGUGCAGUGCAGCUGGAGGAGGAAGUGCGCAGACUAGCGCAGAUAAUUGACGACAUGCAAGGAAGGAACAGAGCCCCUGGUUGGAGGAUAAUGCUGGACGGAGAAUCACCGCUCGCAGCAGAGAUCAUGAGGGCAGUUAUUCCGAGAGAUUUCCGCCUCCCAGACCUCAGAUACUCGGGAAGAACUGAUCCGCUGGUGCACAUAGAGCGCUUCAACGACAUAACUGGGGUACAAGGAUUAUCUCAAUCCCAAAGGUGCAGGGUGUUCCCACUAUCCCUUGAGGGACGUGCACGAGAAUGGUACAGGAAACUCCCUCGGGGCAGCAUUAAAACCUUCGAGCAGAUGUGCCAGGAGUUCGCGGAGCAGUUUAGUGGGGCAAUGGCACCGGAAGAUGACAUGAUGGAGCUGAAAAGCAUGAGACAGGGGGAGCAAGAAACCCUUCGGGAAUUCAUCGAGAGGUUUCAUCGGACUGUCCUCGACUUGGGAGCCUUCAACCACCCUCAGGCGUUAAGGGGAUUGAAAGAAGGGGUGAAGAUAGGAAGGCUGUGGUACAAUUUGAGAAGCCCAGCUAUUCAAACGUAUGCAGCCGCAUACGAACAGGCUAAGAGAGACAUCGAGAUUGAAGAGGAGAAGGCUGCACGGAUUAAGAUAGACCAGUUAGAAGGGUUGGGGAGGAAAGAGAAGAAAGCAUUACCGGGGAAUGGGCUGAUCAGGAGAAGGGACCACCAUGCCUCCGGUAGUGGAGCAGGAGGUCGGGUAACCGCUUACCAGCCUCAUCAGAGGCCACCACAGUAUCAGCGCAGCAGGGCGCAACCUCCUCGUUCCCCAGCUAGGGAGCCUUGGAGAAGGCAUGAGUCGGCAUCUGGUGGUCUUCAUCAACAUCCCCACGGUAGCAGAGCGAGCAGACCAGAAAUACUUCCACCGCCCCCAACUCAGAGCGGGGCAAACAGAGAAAGAGCAGUGCACCUGAUCGACCAGAACCCGGACUAUGGGCGGUACACUUCCUUGAAGAUGUCCCUGGAUGAGGUGUACGAGGCCAUAAAGGAUCGAGGGCUGCUGCACCUCCCUACACCAAUAACAAAGCUACCCAACAGGAGGGAUAGAGGACGUUAUUGUAAGUUCCAUGGCACCCAUGGCCAUACCACAGCAGAGUGUAGAGAUCUCAAGACCCAGGUCGAAGAUUUGGUGAGAAAUCGGUACCUGGACGAGUUUAUGGAUGGGACUUUCCCGAUGGUGGCCACAACAGGUGAAGGGGAGCAGAGUGGUAGAAACUUGAGGCGCGAGCAGCCCGCAGUGAGGGUGAUAGCUGGGGGCCCAACAUUGGCCGGAGAUUCCAACAGAUCGAGAAAAAAUUAUGCUAGGUACGCCAUGACCAGUAAGAGGUACUCUUCAACACCCCAGCAGCCAAACGAGCAAGGGUCAGGCAAGUGCCAAUCAUGUGGACGGAUGAGGAUGAGGAAGGGAUUCUAUACCCCCACGAGGAUGCUUUGGUCAUCAAGGCUAUUGUCGCUAGCAAGAAGUUUGACCGGAUACUGAUUGAUACAGGGAGCUCAAUUGAUGUGUUAUUUAAGUCAACCCUGGAAGAGAUGGGAAUAGCCGACCGGAAGUUGGAAUACACCAAUACCUCCUUGAAGGGGUUCGGAGGAGGGAAGCUGGUCCCUCUGGGCGUGGUCGAGCUGCCUAUCACAAUUGGGAGCUCCCCGACAGAAAGAACAAUGGUACUGGACUUUGUCGUAGUGGAUGAGGAAGGUCCUUACCAGAUGAUCCUAGGUCGGCCAUUUUUAAGGAUGAGCAAAGCGGUGUUGUCCAACCAUUAUCUAGCUCUGAAGUACCGGGUGAAUGGGGUAGUAGGAGUGGUACGAGGAGACCAGAGGAUCGCAAGAAGCUGCUACUCCUCGGCAGCAAGGGAAGCAAUGCAGAUAACAUCCCUCGAUACCCGAGUGGAAAACAAAAAGGGCAGACAAGAACCUGUAGAGGAUCUGGAAACGGUAAGCCUGGGACCAGAGAACCCGGGAAAGACGAUCAGAAUCGGGUCGAGACUUAAGGGAGAGCAAAAGCAGGAGUUGGUAAAAUGCUUAGAGGCUCAUGCUGAUGUGUUUGCUUGGACACAUGAAGACAUGCCAGGGAUUGACCCUGAGGUAGCAUGUCAUAAGCUGGCAAUAAAGAAAGGUGCUCGGGCAGUAAGGCAGAAGAGGAGGUGCUUCAAUCAGGAGAGGUAUGAGGCUAUAAAUGGCGAGGUGGAGAAGCUCUUGAGAGCAGGGUUCAUUCGGGAAGUCAGUUACCCUGAGUGGAUAUCGAAUGUGGUGUUGGUAAAGAAGGCAAACGGCAAGUGGAGGAUGUGUGUGGAUUUCACAGACCUCAAUAAGGCGUGCCCAAAAGACAGCUUCCCUUUACCAAAGAUCGAUCAGCUAGUAGAUUCAACGGCUGGACAUGGUCUGCUUAGCUUCAUGGACGCGUUCUCGAGAUACAACCAGAUCCCCAUGUACGAGCAGGAUGAGGAGAGCACGGCUUUCAUCACUAACCAAGGUCUGUUCUGUUACAGGGUUAUGCCAUUCGGUCUCAAAAAUGCUGGGGCCACCUAUCAAAGGCUGGUGAACAAAGUCUUUAAGCCAUUGAUUGGGAAAACCAUGGAGGUGUACGUGGAUGACAUGAUCACCAAGUCCAAAAUCCCAAAGGAACACGUCAGACACCUCGAGGAGACAUUCGAGCUUUUGAGGAAGUAUAAGAUGAAGCUCAACCCGGAGAAGUGUGCUUUUGGGGUGGAGUCAGGGAAAUUCCUUGGAUUCAUGGUGAGCCAUAGGGGGAUUGAAGCAAAUCCCGAGAAAAUCCAGGCGAUUGUGCAAAUGACGUCUCCUCGUAACCUGAAGGAGAUGCAGAGCCUCACGGGGAGGUUGGCGGCGUUGAGCAGAUUCGUAUCCAAGGCUACAGAUAAGUGUCAGCCAUUCUUUCAAGUGAUAAGGAGGGGAAAGAAAACGGAAUGGACCCCAGAAUGUGAGGAGGCCUUCCGGAACUUGAAGCGAUACUUGCAGCAAGCUCCGCUGCUGUCCACACCGAGGGAGGGGGACAAGUUAUAUCUGUAUUUGGCGAUAUCGGAUCGGGCCGCCAGUUCUGUUCUGGUGAGAGAGGAAGAAGGAGUUCAGUAUCCGAUAUACUACACCAGCAAGUCCCUGCUCGACGCUGAGACCAGAAUCCCAAUCCUCGAAGAAUCAAAGGCAUGCAAAGGCUCGACAAAGUCUCAAAGCCUGUCUUAUGGCGAGACAGAAGCCAAGCAUGCCAGGAUCUGCUCGACCACGAGAAGGCGAGCAGACUCCAAAGCAUUCGAAGAAAUUCCUGAGGCAUGCAAAGGCUCACCAAGUCUCAAAGCCUGUCUUAUGACGAGACAGAAGCCAAGCAUGCCAGGAUCUGCUCGACCACAAGAAGGCGAGCAGACUCCAAAGUAUUCGAAGAAAUUCCUGAGGCAUGCAAAGGCUCACCAAGUCUCACAGCCUGUUUUAUGGCGAGACAGAUGCCAAGCGUGCCAGGAUCUGCUCGACCGCGCGAAGGCGAGCCGAAUCCCAGGCAUUGAAGAAUCUUCAAAGGCGUGUGGCAAAACCAUGAGCAAAGUCGGAACCUGCUCGUCUAGACAAAGACAAGCAGAUUCUCAAACGAAAAUCAGCUCAUAAUUACAACACAAGAAACAUUUUACAGCGCCGAAUCCCGAGGGUCUCAUAACCGUCGGUUUGAAAUUCAAAUGGAGGGGGGGAUUUCUGCCACGUCACCUCGUCCGCAAUUAAAUGCGACGUGAUUCUUGGCAGCCUUUUCCAAUCCCACGCGAGCGAGUACUAACGAGUUUCUACUGCUGGUCCACUACAUUACCCAACACCAGAAACUGGGGGACCGGUGUUUGGGAGAAAUACGUCGACGAGACCAAGCAUGGUGAGUAGAUAUCUGAUGGCAGAGUUCUGCGAACCGGUGUGUUCCGUAAAAGCCUGGUGCGCGGGGGAACAGGAGCAGAAAUAUCCUGCUCGUCUAUGAGCACGUCAUCCGCGAGGCAAAUUUCCUGUAAGAGGCAUAAGGCCAUUCCGGCUAGAAGUCGAGAGGCGAGGAGACCCGGUCGACGGCAGUUGGCAAGGCAUGCUCUCCAGCCCGAGAAUCUAGGCACGACAGCCACGCUUUCCCCAGAACCGUGGCGUAACACGCAAGAUCCCACGUUUGCCCAUAAUUAUAACCAGAAGGUGAACAUACGGCAAUUCAGGGUCGGAGACUGGGUACUGAGAAGAGUGAAUCAGAGCACCAAAGAUUCGACUCAAGGAGUUCUGGGACCGAAUUGGGAAGGGCCAUAUAGAGUCAAGCAGAUAGCGGGACCCGGAGCUUACAAGCUGGUUCGCACGGACGGCCACGAGGUGAAACGCCCAUGGAACGCAUCACACCUCCGAAAAUACUUCCAGUAAGACUUGUUCACAUUUGAAAGCUAUUUUUGCUCAUGCUCAUUAUCGUUUAUCUUUCACGCUUUAUGUCCAAACAAUUUCAUGUAAGUCGAAUCCUGCCAUUAAUGGAACGUCGAGGAAUUUCUUUCGCUUGAAACCGAGAAAAUUCCCAAGGCAUGCAAAGGCUCAUCAAAGUCUCAAAGCCUGUCUUAUGGCGAGACAGAAGCCAAGCAUGCCGGGACCUGCUCGGCCACGAGAAGGCGAGCAGAAUCCCAAUCCUCGAAGAAUCAAAGGCAUGCAAAGGCUCGACAAAGUCUCAAAGCCUGUCUUAUGGCGAGACAGAAGCCAAGCAUGCCAGGAUCUGCUCGACCACGAGAAGGCGAGCAGACUCCAAAGCAUUCGAAGAAAUUCCUGAGGCAUGCAAAGGCUCACCAAGUCUCAAAGCCUGUCUUAUGGCGAGACAGAAGCCAAGCAUGCCGGGAUCUGCUCGGCCACGAGAAGGCGAGCAGAAUCCCAAUCCUUGAAGAAUCAAAGGCAUGCAAAGGCUCAUCAAAGUCUCAAAGCCUGUCUUAUGGCGAGACAGAAGCCAAGCAUGCCAGGAUCUGCUCGACCACGAGAAGGCAAGCAGACUCCAAAGCAUUCGAAGAAAUUCCCAAGGCAUGCAGAGGCUCAUCCAAGUCUCAAAGCCUGUCUUAUGGCGAGACAGAAGCCAAGCAUGCCAGGAUCUGCUCGGCCACGAGAAGGCGAGCAGCAUCCCAAUCCUUGAAGAAUCAAAGGCAUGCAAAGGCUCAUCAAAGUCUCAAAGCCUGUCUUAUGGCGAGACAGAAGCCAAGCAUGCCAGGAUCUGCUCGGCCACGAGAAGGCGAGCAGCAUCCCAAUCCUUGAAGAAUCAAAGGCAUGCAAAGGCUCAUCAAAGUCUCAAAGCCUGUCUUAUGGCGAGACAGAAGCCAAGCAUGCCAGGAUCUGCUCGGCCACAAGAAGGCGAGCAGCAUCCCAAUCCUUGAAGAAUCAAAGGCAUGCAAAGGCUCGACAAAGUCUCAAAGCCUGUCUUAUGGCGAGACAGAAGCCAAGCAUGCCAGGAUCUGCUCGACCACGAGAAGGCGAGCAGACUCCAAAGCAUUCGAAGAAAUUCCCAAGGCAUGCAAAGGCUCGACAAAGUCUCAAAGCCUGUCUUAUGGCGAGACAGAAGCCAAGCAUGCCGGGAUCUGCUCGGCCACGAGAAGGCGAGCAGAAUUCCAAUCCUCGAAGAAUCAAAGGCAUGCAAAGGCUCGACAAAGUCUCAAAGCCUGUCUUAUGGCGAGACAGAAGCCAAGCAUGCCAGGAUCUGCUCGACCACGAGAAGGCGAGCAGACUCCAAAGCAUUCGAAGAAAUUCCCAAGGCAUGCAAAGGCUCAUCCAAGUCUCAAAGCCUGUCUUAUGGCGAGACAGAAGCCAAGCAUGCCAGGAUCUGCUCGGCCACGAGAAGGCGAGCAGCAUCCCAAUCCUUGAAGAAUCAAAGGCAUGCAAAGGCUCAUCAAAGUCUCAAAGCCUGUCUUAUGGCGAGACAGAAGCCAAGCAUGCCAGGAUCUGCUCGGCCACGAGAAGGCGAGCAGCAUCCCAAUCCUUGAAGAAUCAAAGGCAUGCAAAGGUUCGACAAAGUCUCAAAGCCUGUCUUAUGGCGAGACAGAAGCCAAACAUGCCAGGAUCUGCUCGACCACGAGAAGGCGAGCAGACUCCAAAGCAUUCGAAGAAAUUCCCAAGGCAUGCAAAGGCUCGACAAAGUCUCAAAGCCUGUCUUAUGGCGAGACAGAAGCCAUGCAUGCCGGGAUCUGCUCGGCCACGAGAAGGUGAGCAGAAUCCCAUUCCUCGAAGAAUCAAAGGCAUGCAAAGGCUCGACAAAGUCUCGAAGCCUGUCUUAUGGCGAGACAGAAGCCAAGCAUGCCAGGAUCUGCUCGACCACGAGAAGGGGAGCAGACUCCAAAGCAUUCGAAGAAAUUCCUGAGGCAUGCAAAGGCUCACCAAGUCUCAAAGCCUGUCUUAUGACGAGACAGAAGCCAAGCAUGCCAGGAUCUGCUCGACCACGAGAAGGCGAGCAGACUCCAAAGCAUUCGAAGAAAUUCCUGAGGCAUGCAAAGGCUCACCAAGUCUCACAGCUUGUUUUAUGGCGAGACAGAUGCCAAGUGUGCCAGGAUCUGCUCGACCGCGCGAAGGCGAGCCGAAUCCCAGGCAUUGAAGAAUCUUCAAAGGCGUGUGGCAAAACCAUGAGCAAAGCCGGAACCUGCUCGUCUAGACAAAGACAAGCAGAUUCUCAAACGAAAAUCAGCUCAUAAUUACAACACAAGAAACAUUUUACAGCGCCGAAUCCCGAGGGUCUCAUAACCGUCGGUUUGAAAUUCAAAUGGAGGGGGGGAUUUCUGCCACGUCACCUCGUCCGCAAUUAAAUGCGACGUGAUUCUUGGCAGCCUUUUCCAAUCCCACGCGAGCGAGUACUAACGAGUUUCUACUGCUGGUCCACUACAUUACCCAACACCAGAAACUGGGGGACCGGUGUUUGGGAGAAAUACGUCGACGAGACCAGGCAUGGUGAGCAGAUAUCUGAUGGCAGAGUUCUGCGAACCGGUGUGUUCCGUAAAAGCCUGGUGCGAGGGGGAACAGGAGCAAAAAUAUCCUGCUCGUCCACGAGCACGUCAUCCGCGAGGCAAAUUUCCUGUAAGAGGCAUAAGGCCAUUCCGGCUAGAGGUCGAGAGGCGAGGAGACCCGGUCGACGGCAGUUGGCAAGGCAUGCUCUCCAGCCCGAGAAUCUAGGCACGACAGCCACGCUUUCCCCAGAACCGUGGCGUAACACGCAAGAUCCCACGUUUGCCCAUAACGCAGCAUAACGCAGCAGUCGGAGUCCCAUACCGUCCCCCAAAAAAGCGGAAACAAGAUCUCACAAAACCACGACAGCCACGCUUUCCCCAGAACCGUGGCGUAACACGCAAGAUCCCACGUUUGCCCAUAACGCGGCAGUCAGAGUCCCGUACCGUCUCGAAGAAAGCGGAAAACUGGGAUUCAAAGGAAGCCUAUAAAAAGGUAGCCAACGAAGGUAAAUGGGUUAGCAUUUUUGAGAUUAGAAAAGAAAUUCUAAAAGAGAGAAAACAACCUAACAUCCAUAAGAUUUGUGGCAAGUGUUCCCCGAACCUUCAUAUCUGACUUGAGCGUCGGAGGGUUUGCGCCGGGAAAACAACCGGCGUACUCUGACCUGUCUGUGUGCGCAGGAACCUCUGGAGAAGAAGCCUUGCGAGGAGACCCCCUGGUCGUGAUGAAGUUGAUCGAGCAGAGAUCCUGGUCGUAGAACGAGGAGAACCGGAAUCUCGCAUCAACACUUCUGUAAAAGGCGGAGUUUGCACCUAAGAAUAAUUUAAUAUACAUGUGAUUAAAUUGUACAAGUUAUGUAAAUUAUAAAAUCAAAUCUUUGAUGUGUGUGUGUGUGUGUGUGUCUGUCUAUAUAUAUAUGAGUUAUGCAAUCAAAUGGAUACCCUGAAAUGUCUUUAAGUUCUUCCUGGUAAAUUGCCUGCAAAGUGUUAAACUCCAACUUAGCGAGCUCAAGUAAAAGGUGGUUCUUGUCCUCUCUUUUCUCAUAAACGUGUAUGAACCACCUUGCCUCCAACAUUGGGACUUUCCAAUGCAGAGGGAGCUCCACUGCACGCUUCGCUUGUUCUGCGACAAAUACAUGCUCUUCCUGAUCAUCACGUCUUUAAGAUGUUUACUGGUAAAUUGCCAGGCCUCCUCCAUGAUGCUUUCUCCUUCUAAGCUGUAAUACGAGGCUUUGUGCAAGCUCAGUAUUCCCUUGAAAUCAUCACAAAUGAAGCCUCCCUGGUCGUCUUUUAAACCAUUGAAAACCUCUGCAGCACUCAACCAAGAAACGUUACAUUCGUCAAAAUUUUUGAUACAUCUAUUAAUUAGAGAGAUAGAGAAAAAAAACUGAUUUGGGUUUCGCCCAUUUCUUUACAUUUAAAAAAAAAAGAAAAAAAAACAGAGAGAUCGAUUCAAGUAUUCAGAUCAUGCAUGUGCAUGAUCUGAAGGAAGCGAAUUAAUGAAAUAUACCUUGAGAAACAGGAUAGCCAUGUUGUCUAAGUAGUCUGAAUUCAAGGGAGGUUACAUACAGAUUUUCUUUUCUCCAAUUAUAAUCUUUAUUAUUGUUGUAGAUAUUAUUCAAUAUGUUCCUAAUCUCAGUCUCAAAACGAUAAGCCAAUCCAAGUCUUUGCAAGUUAUCAAUCAGCUCCAACUGAUCCAGAGGCUCGAUUACAUCUUUAAUCGCUAUCUUCACUUUUCCCUUCAGCUCUUCUGCUCGUCUUUUGCAUGCUUCAUCCUGUACACGCACAGCAUUUAGUUUUUAGUUAUUCAUGGUCCCAAUUUGAAAUGAACAAAGGAAAUUAAUACGUAAUAGUAAUAAUCAAUACCGUAUACUUGCUAUUCAGCCACUGCAAAAAAUCAUGGUCCCAAAUUGAAGGUUGGUAGUUUGCUGAUCUCCUAUCAACUGUCAAAUUAUCAUAUUUGGCGCUGACAAGGCAUUGGACUGGCUUAUUUUUGGCCAUGAUUCUGAUGGCUGCUUUAUUUGUUGUAAGAGGAAGACAUUUGAAACCAUUUACAGAGGUAACCAAGGUUGAGGGAUUAAUGCAAGAAGACAUUGGAUAUACAGAUGUUGUGUAAGCUAGCUUACUGUCAAAUUAUAUAUAUAUAUAGGCAGAGGAGAAGUUCAAGUGAUUUAUUUUUCGUGCUCAUUUUUUCUGAGUUUUGAAAGCGUUUAAUUUUUAAGUCUUAAUAGUACAAAGGUAUUUUAUUCAUUUGGGGGAAAAAAAAAGGAGUACAUCAUACUGUGCGAACGAGGUCAUUAUUGUACCAGAAGACACAUACAUCAUCCAUAUAUUCGGAUGAAUGUUGUAUAAUCUUUAUUUAUUUAUCUUUUUUUUUUCCUGCAUACAAAUUUUUUAAAGAGUCUUUCAAUAAACUACACAAUAAAUGCACGCAGAAAUGACAAGAAAUUCAUAAAUUCAAUUCUACUAAUAAAAGUUCUAUUUAUUACAUUAAAAUCUUGUUUUAUGUAGAAAUAAGAAUAUACAAAGUAAAUUUAAGGGAAAAAAAAGGCAUACAAAGUUGCAAACAAUAUCUUAAUGUUGAGCACUAACAUCAAAAUUCUAUCUGUUACAGUUAUAAAGUACUUUUGCGGAAAACAAAUUAAUAAAUUUCAAAGUGAUUAUCAACAAAAAGUUGAUUGGAGAUAAUGGAUUUUAAUAUAUUGUAGAUUGUGAUCAUUUGUAAUAAUUUCAAAAAACUUCCAUUUAACAGCGGUUGGUGAAUGGGUGUUGUAAAAUAAUUUUAAUAUUUGACAACAAGCGAAAGAAUGUUGUUAAAAACUCUUCAAUAGAUGUUCAAUCUCACAACGUUCUACAAAAGCGCGUUGUGAAAAAAUUCUAAUAAUUGACAACUAGUGUAAAAUCGUUAUAAAUUUUUAAUCCCAUUCAAUCCAUGAAUUAGUAAAAUUAAUCUAAAUUCAAUUCAUAAUUCUGCAGAUUAGAAGUGGAUUUGAUACAAUCCAUAUUCAUUCCACUUUUGCGAAUUCGAUACGGAUUUAAAAAAAAAUUCUUUCUAUUCAAUUCAUAAAAUAAUUAAAUAAAAAUUUUAAUUAUAAAAAUAAUUUUACUGCAUGCCAAUCAAAUUCAAAUUUAAACAAGAUCUAAAUAAAUCAAUAGUUUAAAUACGGGUUUAGGAAUGCUAUGUUAAUAGGGUCUUUAUACCGCCACCCCAACAUCUAUUAAAUCAAUCAACAUACGUUUUGAAACAAAUAUAAUCCGGAAGCCAUAUACCAUUUCAGCUUUACUCCCUAUUCUCUCUUAAAUAAAACUAUGAAAACACUGGAGUAAUUGGUUUCAGCUUCGGUGUAGGAUAGGUUGGAGGUGAUGACACGCGACGACAGCUACUGAAAGACUAUUCGUUUUUUAAGAUGCCAUUCAAAGUUUCGAACUUUAGCACACCAAAAUAAAAAAUCCUGAUGUUUCUGGAUCAGUGGAUGAAAAUCAACUUAAGUUUUAGAAUUAAAUCAAUACAAAAGUUGAAAUUUGAAAGCUUAUAUAAUUAAUUGUUGUCAACGUCCACCCUAACUAGAUUUUAACCUAUUUACUAGUAGUAUAACAUUUUUAAAUUUUAAAUUCUUUAAAUUAUAUACACACACGGAUUUGCUGAUUUUCAGGGAUUUGGAGAAGCAAGUCCAUUUCAUCAAUUGUCGAUUUUAAAAUUUUUCAAUCCAUCUAAUCUGUCAAUUCAGCUCUUCUGCUCGUCUUUUGUAUGUUUCAUCCUGUACACGCACAGCAUUUUGUUUUUAGCUAUUCAUGGUGCCAAUUUGAAAUGAACAAAGGAAAUUAAUAUGUAAUAAUAAUAAUAUUGAAUACCGUAUAGUUGCUAUUCAAUGACUGCAAAAAAUCAUGGUCCCAAAUUGAAGGUUGGUAGUUUGCUGAUCUCCUAUCAACUGUCAAAUUAUCAUAUUUGGCGCUGACAAGGCAUUGGACCGGCUUAUUUUUUGCCAUGAUUCUGAUGGCUGCUUUAUUUGUUGCAAGAGGAAGACAUUUGAAACCAUUUACAGAGGUAACCAAGGUUAAGGGAUUAAUGGAAGAAGACAUUGGAUAUACAGAUGUAGUGUAAGCUAGCUUACAGUUAUACUUGGCAAAGAUUCUCAAAUUAUUCUAUGGUUUGUGGUGAUGUUCGAGGUUAUAUAUAGGCAGAGGAGAAGUUCAUGUGAUUUAUUUUUCUCACUCAUUUUUUCUGAGGUUUGAAAGCGUUUAAUUUUUAAGUUUAAUAGUACAAAGGUGUUUUAUUCAUUUGGGGGGACCCACAAAGGAGUACAUCAUACUGUGCGAACGAGGUCAGUAUUGUGCCAGAAGACACAUACAUCAUCCAUACAUUCGGAUGAAUGUUGUAUAAUCUUUAUUUAUUUAUCUUUUUUUUUCCUGCCUACAAAUUUUUUAAAGAGUCUUUCAAUAAACUACACAAUAAAUGCACGCAGAAAUGACAAGAAAUUCAUAAAUUCAAUUCUACUAAUAAAAAUUCUAUUUAUUACAUUAAAAUCUUAUUUUAUGUAGAAAUAAGAAUAUAAAAAGUAAAUUUAAGGAAAAAAAGGCGGAUUCACCGAAGUUGCAACAGUUGCAACGUACCAGGAUUUUUGUCUUUUUGUGACUUCAGCUCUUCACCGUCCGAUUUAAUGAAAAAGCAGCGUCUAUGGUAAGGAUGUGUCUGUUUGGUAAUUAACGUUACGGUCCCUAUUUUUUUGAAAAUUCAACAAAGUUAAAGAGUUACAGCUUUUAAUGCACAAGUCUGAAUUAUCUCAAAAUUGUAAAUAAUUAGACAAUUAAAAUUAGGAGAAAUUUCAUUAACAUUUUCAUUGUUAAAAAUAAAAAAUAAAUAAAUUUAAUUUGUGAAUAAAAUUAAAAUUUAAAAUAUUAAAAAUUAUUUCAAAAAUCAUUUCCAAUUUCUUCAUCUUAUCCAUCUCAUGUGCCAUGAAGUGGAACCGAAAGUAAUUACAACAAAUAAUCAUAGAAUGAAAUAAUAGAUAUCGUCAAUUUAAGUUAGUAAAGCAUUAACCAAUUACUCCUUUCGUUAGCCUAAACCAUUAAUUUGGUUUAGUACCUAGAGGCUGGAACUUCAACAUAAAAUAAUUAAAAAAAUGUAAUUCCAGAUUAUUAAUUUAAGUUUCAACCUAAAUUGUAGUGAAAUUUCCCAGUUAUUACUAUUUUUUAUGAUGUUAUAUUAGUAUGUCAAUAUUUAAUAUUCAAAAUAGUAAGAAUAUGUUUAACAUAUUAACAUUUACAAAAGAGUAGAAGAAUAAAAUUCAUAAUUAUGAUACUUCAAUUCUAAUCAAAUUAUAUUGAUAUGCAUUAAUUCAAUAAGCCUAUACACCUAAAUAAGCUAAAUACUAGGAGCUUUACUAUUCCUAAGUUAUACAUUGUAGAUUAUUAUAACAGUCAUAGAUUAUUAUAACUUUUUUAAUUAACAUAACAUUCUCAAACAGUUAAUUAAAACUCUUUUGCCAAUUAAAGUUGGUAGAAAAAAUCGAAUCCCAAAUCCCGUACCAAAUGGUACAUGAUACGGUAUAUGACUUAAAAAAUAUUUAAAAUAAAUAGAAAUUUGAGAUUAAAUUUAUUCUCAUUAAAACUCGGGACUAGUCAGGACUUCAAUUGGGAUCCCGAUGGAAUCCUAAUUAUACCAAAUUAUUUUAAUUUUCUAAUUUAAUUAAAAUGUUAAAAAAAUCAUGCACAGCUUUUAGCUUUUAGUUAUACACGAUUGCAGAGAAUUCAUGGUCCCAAUUUGAAAUGAACAAAUUAAAUUAAUGUGUAAUAAUAAUAAUGAAUACCGUAUAGUCGCUAUUCAAUGACUGCAAAAAAUAAUGGUCCCAAAUUGAAGAUUGGUAGUUUGCUAAUCUCCUGUCACCUGUUAAAUUAUAAUAUUUGGCGCUGACAAGGCAUGGGACUGGCUUAUUUUUGGCAAUGAUUCUGAUGGCUGCUUUAUUUGUUGCAAGAGGAAGACAUUUGAAACCAUUUACAGUGGUAAACAAGGUUGAGGGAUUAAUGCAAGAAGACAUUGGAUAUACAGAUGUAGAGUAAGCUAGCUUACAGUUAUACUUGGCAAAGAUAUUUUUCUCCAUUUCCUUUGAGAUCAAUUUCAAAACGAAAGAGUUCAGCAGCUUUGCACGAAAACUCUGGAACACUAGUGAUUAAGCACUUGCGAUUAAACAAUUGUUUGUUAAUGUUUACACAGUGCGACAGAGGAGCCUGCCACCUCACUACACGUUAGUGUAGCACAUGAGAAACCUCCGUUUGAAAAAUUAGACUAGUUGGUAGCGGCCGUGCCCGGGAAGCCUCUCUUCUUUGACACAAUAUGACACAAAUUAUUAACAAUCAAAUCACAAUUUUGAUAAGUUUCGUGAAAUAUAAAAAUAAUAGAAAUACAGAUGAUUAAAAAUUUGUUAAAGUCAAUUUUUUUAUUCACUAUUUACAAAAGAUAUUUAUUAUAUUUUAGUGAAAAGGAGGUCUUAAUAUCUUUUAUUGAAAACUUGAAGGUUUAUAUGAUCAUUUCUUCAAACUAUAAGGUGUAGGUGUAUUUUUUCCUUAAAAUUAUAUUUUCAUACUUUUAUAAUAUAAAAGUAUAGUUUAUACUCAUUAUAGGACUGCGAAUAAGGCAAUUUAAUUAGGACGGCAUUAUCAUAGGUAAAUGAAUUGAAGGAACUACAAAGCUGAUAAAUUCGAUCGUUGCCGGAAUCAGAUAUUGGAUAGAGAAAGUCUUCUAAAAUGGACAAGUAGCUUUCCAGAGAAUUCAGUGCUAUGCAUGUGGCUUUUUCACAUGGAUUAAUUGGCAGCACUCAUCAGGCAUUGUAAAUUUCUAAUAACACAGUCAACAGUCAGGCUCAUGAAAAGAAAAUAUUUAUUUUUUUUUUUAAAUUAAUAACCACUAAAGAGGUAGGAGGUUAGGCAAAACCCCUAUCUGACGUAUAAAUCAAUAUAGGAGUAAUUAUAUAAGGACGAUAACAUAACUCAAAACCUCUUAAAAUAGAUGUAAAUACAUAAGAAUAAAAGAAAAGAAUACAUCAUCAAUUGAAACAAUAAACCAACAAUCCUAUCGUCUGAUAUGAGGAAAAGUUUGUGCAUCUAAAUAAAGAAUGCCAGAUAAGCCCAUAGUUAGAUCUCGAGCACACAAGAAACGCCGGCUAACCCGGUGAGAGCAAGUCCAAUUGGCCAUAAAAUCAGUAGCAUAUGUAGCCUCCUGAAGCACAUGUCUAAUAAAAAUAUGAGAGGAAGAUAUCAAAGCACACACCUGACGUAACAAAUAAACAUAAUCCCAACGAACAAGGCCCAAGGAAUGAAUCCAAGAAACCACCAUGGCUGAAUCUGAUUCUACCUCAAGUACUGAGUAUCCCAGAUGAGUAGCGAGCUCCAACCGCUUGGAAACAGCCAUAAGCUUAGCAUAAAGAGUCGGUUGGCAACUAAGAAAAGAUCCAAAAGCAGCCAAAAAGUCACCCUGAUGAUUACAAAGAAUACCACCAGCUGCAGCUAUCCUAAGAUUACCCCUAGAGAAACCAUCCACUAUUAAUUUUGCAACUCCAGGAAGUGGUCACAUCUAAGAAACGAAACAAAUCGGCCUCUUGGGUGGAAUUAUGACACACAAACCCUCCGUAAUCCAAGAACCCAAAACUCCCCGUAGCUGAGAGGGCUUAAAUCCCAAUGCGGAGCUAGCAAGCCUAAGGUCCAAUCCCACUUGGUGGAUAAUUGCAUCCAUAGAGAAGGUCUGCGAAUCAAACCUAAAAGUAUUGCGAGCUUUCCAAACUUGCCAUAAAAUAAAGUAAGGAAGAAAGACUCGAAUAUAACUUCGACAUAGUGCAUAUAGUGGCCAAUAACAAAGCAAAGCAUGCGGGGUUAAAAAAACCACAUGUCGCAUACCUAAAUUUCGCCAAAAAUAAGCCCAAAUUAGCCUAACCCGUGGGCAAUCAAGGAAAAAAUGCCGAGAAGUCUCAAUAGCCCUACCACAAAUAUAGCGAGAGACUAUACAAAAUCCUCUCAAAUAAGGCAUCAUCAGUAGUCAAAUAACCAUGCAACAGUCGCCAUAGAAAAAAGCCCUAGAAGCAGAUAAGCAAAAAAACCUCAUCUCUUGGCCUAGAGCAACACACAAGCUCCCACGCUGUCCGCAAAUAAAAAAAGCCAUCAUGGCCGGACGCCCACCGAAUUGUAUCAUGUUUUGUACUAAAGAUGGGAAACAAUAGAAUUUGUACAACGAUUGAAGAGGGUAACACAUCUUGGAGUUUACCCCGGUCCCAUACUAUGCCCUGCCAAUAAAAAAAAUCGGCGCCCCAGAAGCCAUUGCAGGGUUGUAAAAGGCCAAAGGGCAGGAGCCCAACUAGCAAUUAUUCCAAAAACUACACUCCCCUGACCAACCAACUAGCGUACAUAAGGUUCAGCAACCCACCGAACCGAACAUAGUCAUCUCCAAAGAGAAUAGACGGAAUAACGAACCUAAACCCGACUCAAAUGUAUAGCUCUACAAUACUUAGACCUCAUAAAAUUAGCCCAUUAGGAAUUUUUCUCCCGAAAAUGCCACCAAAGCUUAUACUCAAAAGCCUGAGAUAAAUCCUUAUAAGAUUUGAUACCCAGGCCACCCUCUUUAAUUAGAUAAUAUACAACCGACCAUUUACACCAAUGAAUCUAACGUCUUAAUUUAAAAUCACCACAUAAGAAUCAGUUAAAGAACUUCUCUAAGAGUUGUACUACAGCUGCAUGUGGGCAAAGAACAUGAAGCAAGUGUAAUGGCAUAGACAAUAGCACAUGUCGAAUAAGCACUAACUUUCCACCAAAAGAAAGCAACUGAUUGGCCUAUCCCGAGAUUUUAUCCCUAAUUUUUCAGACCAUACCACCGCUGAAAGUCAGUGAUCGAAUGGACAAUAACUUGUCGUGAAGUAGAAGCGAAAGUUCUAAUGUAAAAAUAGCUUUCGGCUUGAUUAAUUGAUUGCCCCGAAACCGCCUUAUACUGAUGUAAAAACUUUAUAACCCACCAAAGACUCGAUCGACUCUCAUUUAAAAAAAUAAUAAUAUCGUCUGCAAAGCUUAAAUGGGAAACAAAGAUAGGUGUAGCAGAACAAUAUCGCACAGAAAGAUACUGAGUAUAUAUACGGUCCAAACCUCGAGAUAGGAACUCAGUAGCAAUGAUAAAUAAACAUGGGAAGAGAGGAUUACCUUGCCUGAGACCUCCCUUAGACUGGAAAAAAAAAUCAUGGCUAACUCUAUUCACCAGCACUGAGAACCAAGGACCAAAGAUGGCUCGUCGAAUCAAAGAGACCCACUGCUCCGAAAACCCAAAACACCGUAACAUCUUAAUAAUGAAAUACCAGGACAUCCCAUCAAAAGGCUUUGCCAUGUCAAGCUUCACACCACAUUAUUUCCUUGAGUACAGUGGUUGAGAUCAUGGACUAACUCCUGAACCAAAAGCACAUUAUCGUGUAUCACUCUACUAUGGACAAAACCGCUCUGAGAGGGAGAAAUAAGACGAGGCAAUAAAGGGUCCAAUCUCAACGCAAGUAGUUUAGUCAGAACGUUGUUACUCACAUUACAUAAACUAAUCGGUCUAAACUAUGCCCAAGAUCGGGCACCCAAGAUAAGUGAAUGGAAGCUGAAGCAGCUGAAAGUCAGUGAUCGAAUGGACAAUAGCUUGUCGUGAAGCAGAAGCGAAAGUUCUAAUGUAAAAAUAGCUUUUGGCUUGAUUAAUUGAUUGCCCCGAAACUGCCUUAUAAUGAUGUAAAAACUUUAUAACCCACCAAAGACUCGAUCAACUCUCAUUUAAAAAAAUAAUAAUACCGUCUGCAAAGCUUAAAUGGGAAACAAAGAUAGGUGUAGCAGAACAAUAUCGUACAGAAAGAUACUGAGUAUAUAUACGGUCCAAACCUCGAGAUAGGAACUCAGUAGCAAUGAUAAAUAAACAUGGGAAGAGAGGAUUACCUUGCCUGAGACCUCCCUUAGACUGGAAAAAAAAAUCAUGGGUAACUCCAUUCACCAGCACUGAGAACCAAGGACCAAAGAUAACUCGUCGAAUAAAAGAGACCCAUUGCUCCGAAAACCCAAAACACCGUAACAUCUUAAUAAUGAAAUACCAGGACAUCCCAUCAUAAGGCUUUGCCAUGUCAAGCUUCACACCACAUUAUUUCCUUGAGUACACUGGUUGAGAUCAUGGACCAACUCCUGAACCAAAAGCACAUCAUCGUGUAUCACUCUACUAUGGACAAAACCGCUCUGAGAGGGAGAAAUAAGACGAGGCAAUAAAGGGUCUAAUCUCAACGCAAGUAGUUUGGUCAGAACGUUGUUACUCACAUUACAUAAACUAAUCGGUCUAAAAUAUGCCCAAGAUGCUGGGGGCGACUUCUUAGGAAGAAGACUCAAUAAUGUACUCUAAAAACCCUUGGGCAUAGUUGAACCUCUGAAGUAAUCAAAGACAACCUCCAAUAAAUCAUUGCUAAUAAUAUCCCAACAAAACUGAUAAAAUUUAUUGGAGAACCCAUCAGGACCCAGAGCACUGUCAAGAUCAAUGGAGAAAACCAUCUGCCUAACCUCAUCCAUAUCUGGCUUCUUACAUAGAUUCACAUCAUUCUGUACAGUCACUAGAGACAAAAUAAAAUCAAAGUCUGACGGCUGAAACUGUCUAAUACCACAUGUUAAUAAACCCUAAAAAUAGUCAACUACAGAAGCAGCAACGGCUGAUGGCUCAUAAAUUUAUUAAAAAAAAAGCAUCCUGAAUCUGAUGGAUAUGAAAAAGUUGACACUUCUUCUGAAUCAUCGCAUGGAAAAAAUGAGUAUUAGCAUCGCCUUCCCAAACCCAACGAACAAUGAACUGCUGACGCAAAAAACUCUCCUCACAAAGAAGAGCAUGUUGCAACCGGACUCUGGCCUCUGAAAAAAUAGCUCUAUCUACAACAGAACCAUGAAUAUCAUAUUGCCUCUUUUUCUUAGCAACGUCCUCUUCCGCCUCCUUGACCCAAUGAAAGACAUUACAGAAUAUAUCCUUAUUCCAAAUUUUCAAGUAAAGCUUCAAUCUAGCAAGUUUCUGCUGAAAAGCUCUCGUUCGAGAACUAAGUACCGGAGAAAUCCAAGGUUGCCUGACAACAUCCAAAAAGCUAGGAUGUUUAAUCCAAGCAUGUAGAAACUUAAACCUGGAAGGCCCUCUGGCUACAUUUUUAUCACAAGAUAAAAGCAAAGGAGAAUGGUCUGAAGCUGUACGAUUCAAGUGUGUAACACGAAACAAUAAGAAAUAAUUUGACCAUUGGGCAUUGCUGACUACCCUGCGUCUCCAAGUGUGACCAUUAGUCCAAGUGAAUUGACUACCAGUAAACCCUGUAGCCUCCUCCAAGCAAAAAUCUAAUAAAGCUAAUUAAAAGCAUCAAUUGUCUUCUGAAGUUGGGCAUGCCCACCAGAAAUCUCUUAUGCUGACUGUACAAUAUUAAAAUUCCCCCCAAAAUCCAAGGACACUCCUGACAAUCAGCAAAAGCCAUAAGGGCUUUCCACAAAUCCUCUCGCACUAACAUAAAACAACUAGCAUAUACAUAAAAAAUAAAAACAGGUUCAGGAAAUAGAUAAUGGCUAACCGGACAACGAAUCAAUUGGCCGAUAUCCUCAAGGAGCUCCACCGAGAAUGGCAUAGACCAAAACACCCAAAUUUUCCCAAACUGAAAAGACAAAGCAUGAUCCAUUCCAAGACGAACCUGAGUAGCCUCUAACCGAUCAGCUGAAAUAAAAGGCUCUAAAAUACAGAUCAGAGAUAGUCAAUGCAACCGAAUCAACUUUUGCAGCUUGCAGACUAUGAGGGCCUUAUUAAUGCCCCGUAUAUUCCAAAUCAUAGAGUUAAUUAUUAGGAAGGGGAAUAUUUGGAAGGUAGCCUACACUUGCUAUUUUUAUGAGAUUUUUGGCCACUUACAGGUGAGAAUUCUCGGGUCCUCAAGAUUUGUUAAAAACCGACCCUCAUCAUCACCGUGCUCUUCAUGACCAACGUCUAUAUCCGAAUGAGAAGACCAAUCUUGUUCUUGUCACUACCAAGAUCUGUUGAUUGAUUAUUCAUGCAGUGGUCAUUUAAACCUUUUUGUAACUGAGUGGAUUCAUCGAUGGGUAUCUGAUUGAUGAUCGAAGCAUCUAAAAUAUCACAAUCAUUAAUAACUGUUGUAAGUUGAGAUUGAUCAGGCUGCCUCGAUGAAGAAAUAGGAGGAUGAAGAGAAGUUAGGUUCUUGUGGCCGCUUAUCAACAAUAACAAGAUACCGAUCGGGACUAUUCACCCUAGGUUGGAUGUCUACAUUAGAAAGUUUACCCUUUUCUCUUGGCUGCCGACCUUGAAAUUCCCCCUGUUGAGGUUUACAAAGCCCGGGAUUAAUAAUAUAACAAGUAUCAGAAAUAUGACCUAAAUGCUUACACGAAGUACAAUAAGAUGGUACUCGCUCAAAAAUCACGUUCUGCCAAACCUUGAAAUCACCCUCACCAAUCCAUACUAGUGACAAUAAAGGCAUGAGACAUCAUACUCAAUCAGCACUCAAGAAACAGAUGGCCGAUUAACAGAUAUCGUUGCGUUUUCAACUCUCAAAGGUUUGCCAAUAGCUGAAGCUAUCGAAAAUAGAGCCGGUUUACAAUUAAUAAAAUGAAAAGCCAAAUAGGGAAAGGAUACCCAUACUGGCUGGGUGAAUAUUACGAUUCUGAGAAUUAGGAGGAGAAUUAUCACGAUUUUGGGUUUGAGUUUGGUUUCAUGUUUGGGUUUAAUGGAUUUGUUUGGAUGACAUUAUUGAAAAGGGUUGUCUAUUACGGGUUUGGGCUUGGAAAUUUGUUUCUUGGGUUCCGGUUUGGGUACAUGGGAUCGGGUCCAAGUUAGGGCUUUGUAACGUUUGUAGUUGUGAAGGUAAUGACUGCUUCUCCAGGAUUUUGGCUGUGUUGUUCAUGGUUGAAAGUGUGUUUGGUGGAUUUGGGUUGUAGAUGAUGACGGUGAAGGUUUUGGCCAGGUCAUGGCGCUGAUAGCGGCGGCAAAGAGCAUGGCAACAAGGUUGGAGUUGCUACCAAUGCAGCUGGAAUUUUCAGGAGUUGGAGCCGUCAUGGUUUCAGAUUGCUGGUGACCAUGGGACUGUUCACGGACAUCUUGAGAAGGUUCUCGAGGACUAGUUUGACCGUGAAAACCUGUCGGAGCAGAUAUGACUCAUUUUGUUGUUAUUCGUCAAUCCAGUGACGUGUGACUUAGGGAGUGACAGAUCAGUAUUUGGGAGAACUUGAGAUGAGAGCAGCGACAGUUUUGCAGUGUCUGCGGUGGUUAAAGAGGAUGCAGCGGUGGCCUAUCUGUUUGGAUGCGAGAUCAGUGAGUUUGGGUUGUUAUUUUGCUGUGUUGGUGAUGUUUUUGAUAACAUGGCAAUGUUAGGAUGAGCAUGGGAUGGUGGCAGAGGAUCGAAAAUGAUUUCAGAUGCAGCUAAAGUGGUGGCACCUGCGGCAGAAUUGAUGGAGGAAGAAAGCCGAUAGUUUGCUUUGCUGUUUUCGGUUUGUAGGCCUAAGUUUGAGUCUGCCGGAUAGAGAACUGGUCACUGGCAAAUUGGGGAGGUUCCGAUGGCGGUUGAUCAUCACUAACAGCCGCCGAUGAAGCCAUAGCGGCUGGUCAAAGGUUCGGUCAAUCGUGAUGAUGGUGCUGUGCUUUUGAAACUUUUUUUAUUAUUUGUUUUUUCUUAUUAACAUUAAAGAAAUAAUAAAAUAAAUUAAAAUUAAAGAUUUUAAUAUUUGAAUUUCGAUUUAUAUCCUAACUAAUGUGUAGCUGGAGGCGAAAUUUUGAGAGGACUAGAAAUUGAGCGCAGCUCUCUACCCUUUUAUAUAUAUAUAUAUAUAUAUAUAGACACAAACGACAGUGUUAGAGAUUUGUUUCUAGAAAUGAAUACAAUAAUGGAAGACAAAAUACACUAAUCCAAUAAUUAGGCGCUCCUGUAUUUAAGCUAAUCCAAUAAUUAGGAACUCAUUUUUUUUUAAUACAAAUGGGCUCUCAAUCAAAGAGCUAAGAAUGAGCUAAACAGGGGUCAAACACUCCAUACAUCAUGAAAAAGCAGAGGCUUAAUACUUUUAGGGGGGCUUGGAAACAUGUGAAGAGCCGAUGCGAGAGAAAUAGUGAUGUUAGCCAUAUGAUUUGCAGCAUAGUUGGCUUCCCGGUAUAUAUGAUUGAUGCGAACAGUCCAAUCUCGCUUGAUAAGCUCUCACCAAAUAAGGGGAGAGAAUUCGAAGUUCAAACAAGAAGAAUUGGCAACCAUCUGAUACGCACAUAAGCUAUCCACCUCCACUUGAUGCCAGCGUAUACCCAAUUGCCAAGCAAUGAUCAGCCCCUGGAAAAGACCCCAUAGCUCAGCCAUCACAACAGAACAGGAUCCAAUAUUCACGCCGAACCCCUUCACCCACCCUCCAUUAUGAUCCCGAAUUAAACUGCCAACCGAAGACACUCCUAACUGCUUGCAUGCCCCAUCAGUGUUUAACUUGUACCGUGGCCAUAUCGGAGUAUACCACCCAACCAAUUUCUCACACUUUCUUCCACUAAUCAUUAAGGUAGAAUUAUACAAGCUUUGAAUCUCUUCAGCUCUGCCCAAGACAUCAUGAAACAUGUCAUUUCUACCCAAAAAGGAGUGCUGUAAAAUAAAUUGGUUCCUUCAGAACCAUAAUCGCCAAAUUGCCACCCCAAAGAAACAUGUCCAUUUCAAACCUUUAUGGAAGGACCAUUGAUCAUCGAGAUUUUCCCGCAAGCAUUCUCGCAACCCUGGCUUGUAUAACUCUUCCUGAUGAGCCCUGGGAAUAACUAGAUUCCAAAAACUCUUAGCAACCAUACAAUCUCGUGAUGUCCUCCAUAGGAGCGCCACACCUAUCGCACUCACAACUAUGAACAACAUGCCUUCUCAAUAACUCUACUUUUAUUUUAAGUUGUCCAUGGAGUACCAGCCAAAUAAAUAUACGCACAUUAUGGGGCCCCUGCCAAUGCCACACCAAGUUCCAAAUUCUGUCUUCCGCUUGAUACCGAUGGGAACUAAUGGCAUGGUAGGCAGAUUUAACCGAAAAAUUCUCCAUUUUUAGAGUUCACCCAAUAAAAGCAGUCAUUUCCACACUGAGCUAAAGGGAGAACACAAGAGGCUAUCUGCAGAAUAAUGUUAUUAGGUAGAUAACGUUGAAACAGCUCCCACCUCUAACUACUAUUACUAUCUAUGAAAUUAGCCACUACAUUGUAGAUUAUGUCAUCGGGUAUCGGACAAAGAGCUUCAGAAAUCAGAGGUUUUUCUUUUAUCACCCAACGGUCCAACCAAAAUUGGACUUUAGUGCCAUCACCUAUAUUCCAAGCAACACCUGAGAGAACGUCAGUCCAAACCUUCCCAAUCGACUACCACAAGUGGGAGCCAUUUCUACAAGGCAAUUCAGUAGGAUGGACAGAUAAAUCCACCCCAUAUUUAGUUGACAAAACCUGAGGCCAUAGACUUGAAGGAGAUAAAAGAAUACCCCAACCAACCUUCAUGAGAAAGGACUUAUUCAUCCCAUCCAGACUUUUGAAGCCUAAACCGCCAUUAAUUUUAGGCUGACAAAUAUUAUUCCAACUGACCAUACUUAGUUUUUGAGAAGUUACAGCACCACUCCAUAUGAAACGCUUGCAUGCAUGGUCUAUCUUCAGCUUUAUCCCAGCAGGAAGGUCGGUUGACUGCAUUGCAUAAAUAGGGAGAGCUUGCAAAAUAGAUUGGGCUAGCGUAAUCCGGCGAGCCAAGGAUAAGUGGGAAACAUUCCAUCCAGAGAGCCUUAUCUACAUGUAGAUGCAGCAACCAGAUGGAUUCAUACAAAAAGGCCAAGAACACAUGGUAUGUAACUUAUAGAGAUCCAUUUAUGGAUUAAAGCAAGCAUCCCGGUCAUGGUACAUCAGAUUUGAUCAAGCGAUUAAAUCGUUUGGAUUCAUUCAAAACAUUGAUGAACCAUGUGUGUACAAGAAAAUUCAAGGAAAAUAUGUAGCCUUCCUAGUUCUUUAUGUAGACGAUAUUCUCCUAAUUGGAAACGAUAUAGGAGUAUUGACUACAAUAAAGAGUUGGUUAGCCAAACAAUUUGAUAUAAAAGACCUGGGAAAGGCAAGUUAUAUUCUUGGUAUCAAGUUACUACGAGACCGGAAGAAUAAAACUUUAGCACUGUCUUAAGCAGUCUAUAUCGAUAAGAUAUUGGCGAGAUUUAGUAUGGAAAAUUUCAAGACUGGUUUAUUACCAUUCAGACAUGGAAUUACAUUCUCUAAGGAUCAAUCACCUAAAACAUCUGAAAAGAUAGAGAAUGAGACGAGUUCCUUACGCAGAAGCUGUGGGAAGUCUCAUGUAUGCCAUGCUUUGCACUAGGUCAGACAUCUGUUUUGCAGUAGGGAUGGUUAGUAGAUAUCAAUCUAAUCCUGGACUUGAACACUGGACUGCGGUCAAGCAUAUAAUAAAGUAUCUGAAAAGAACUAAAAAUUAUAUGCUUGUGUAUUCUGGUGAUGAACUCAUUCCAGUGGGUUAUACUGAUUCUGACUUUAUGUCAAAUAAGGAUUCCAGAAAAUCAACUUCCGGCUAUAUGUCUACAUUGGGAAGUGGAGCUAUUAGUUGGGGGAGUGUGAAAAAAUCUUGUAUCGCAGACUCCACAACUGAAGCUGAAUAUGUGGUUGCAUCCGAAGCCGUAAAAGAAACUAUAUGGCUCUGCAAGUUCCUACAAGAUCUUGAUGUAGUACCUGUUGUAAUUGCACCCCUUAAACUAUUUUGCGAUAAUAAUGGUGCGGUAGCUUAAUUUAAGGAACCAAGGAACCACAAGAAACAAAACAUAUUGAGAGGAAGUAUCAUCUUAUAAGGGAUAUAGUGUAGAGAGGUGAUGUGGAGGUUACUCAAAUUGCGUCACAGCAAAACUUGGCAGAUCCUUUUACUAAGGCCAUGCCUGGGAAACCUUUUAAGUUCCACUUAGAAUCCAUGGGCAUGCGUGAGAUGUCAAAUAUGCUUUGAGAGCUAGUGGGAGAUUGUUGGGAAAAUAUGCUCUUUAAAAGCAUAUGUGUUUAUUUAAUUGUAAUAAAUAAUUUUUCUUACUAAUAUAAUAAAUGAGGUAUUUUAUUCAAAUAUCUUAAUUGCAUUAAUAUUUUGAUUAAAGUUCAUUUAAUCAUAUUAUAUGUAUUUAUGUGAUCACUAUGUGGAUUCACAGAAGACAUAAAUACAAGUUAUCUUAUGAUUAAAUAAAUUUAGUUCGCAGUUGAUAAAUAAAGUUGGACACUUUAUUUAAGUAUAGACUGUAAUGAAUUCAUUGAAGGAUUUGUCUUAAUCAUGUAUGAAUUUAUUGAUGUAGUACGACUACAUUGAACAUGAUCACAUAUGAGAUUUAAUUAACCUUGAAAUGACUAUCAGACUUAUUAAAUCUCAUAGGCAUUGAUUUUACAGUAAUCUUAAUCUUGAGUUAGUUAUGAUUUCAUGAUUGUAAUUGUUAUUCCAUUUGAGUUACUAAUGGGCACGACACACAACUGUGGUCAAGAUUACCCGGUAUCUUGGUGGGAGGAAUUAUGAGUAUUGGAGUUAUAGAUUAACAAUAUAGAAUUUGUACAGCACAUCUCUUGAUGGGUUUUCGGCACUUGAUCAUAGAAUUCUCUUGCCAGAGUGUGUCAACAUAUUUAGUAUGUUGAAAAUUAUCAUUAGAGAGAACCAGUAAGUAUCAAGGAAUAAGAUGUAAUUAAAUCGAUUAGACAGUUGAGAUAUCGAUUUAAUUAACGAUGUGGUUCAAAGGAUUAUGCAAUAAAGAAAUCAAUGUGGCUUGGGACGAAUUAUUAUUCGAGCAUACAAUUAUGGAGGUCAGUUCCAAUCUUUUAGUAGAGUAGAUUUGGAAUUAAAUAAUUGGGCUAGUUUAAUUACAAGCCUAAUUAUUAUAGCCACUAUUAUUUAUUCCCAAAUGAUCCCCAUGUUUGCUCAUUUAAUUGACUGCACCACUACUGGAUUAAUAAGUAAGAUAACUAACUAUUUAGGUUAAAAGCCUAAAUAUAUUAUUUAGUGGGAGGCUUCAUAUAAUGUACUUGUGUCUAAGGGGCCUUGUGUUAUUUUACAAGGGUGGCCCUUAUAUCAAGAAAGAAGUAACGCUACUUUUGGUUUAUUAUUUUUAAUUUAAAUCAAACUUGAUUUAAUAGAAUAAAAUAAUAUUAAAAAAAUAGAGCCUAGGGUUUCCACUAGAUAGAGUUAUAAAAAGGCUUAUUUUCUCCCAAAAUAAGGUAGAGCAGUCACUUUAUACAUAUCAGAGAAAAAGAUUUUUUUCUCUAAUUUUGAGAGAAAAAUUUUCUUGUGCUAGUUGCUUUAGUGGUUAUAAAGGCACCCACAUAUCAAGUGCAGAUCAAAUUUGAGUCAUAACCUAGAAGAUCAUUGGUGACAGUUCUUGAUCUAACAAGUGUGGUGGUGAUAGAUCAUGAUCCAACAGGCGUGGUGGCGACGGAUCGUGAUCUAGGAGCCUAGUUUCACUUCAGCGGAAAAAGCAAAGAUUGUUCAUCUUCUCAGAUUUUCAAGGUACGAUUUCUAGAUUAUGAAUUCUUAUAUAUUAUAUGAGAUCGACCCUAGAAACUUUUUUUUAAUUUAAAAAAUUGAUUUUUCUCCAAUAAUUGGUAUCAGAGCCUUCUCAUAUUAAUAUAUAAGAAUAUCGUAUGAAAUCAAUCUCGAUAUUUAUGUAUUAGAGUGGCACAGUUUAUUCAGAUAUAUAUUAUUUGUUUAAUAUAUGAAUAAAGCAUGCUUAUGGUUUGUCUUAAUUCAUGGUUAGAUUUUUCGUUGUAUUUUUUCUUUAAAUUUGUAACAAGAGGGGUGAUAUUUUAUCACUAUGUUUCCUUCUUGAUUUAUUUUAGUGUUAUGGAAAUUUUGUAAGCCAAAAUUGGCCUAGGAAAUUUGUAAAUCGCUGGAGAUUAAUCACGCAACGAUAGAUCAAAGGAACGAAGGUCGAAAAUUUCAGCAAAGUGCGGCCAUGUCAGCAGCAGCGUGCGCGCAACCAGCAACGCGUGCUACAACCAGCGCUGCAAGUAACUCGCCCAGCAGCUGCAGCGCGCGACCAGUAGCGCCACCAGCUGCACGAGUAAAGGCCUUCCGGUGUAGCGUGGUGGCGGGUGACUCGUUUUUUGGCUUUCCGGUGCGGACGCAACGUUUAACUUGGCGUCGAAGAUGGCUGGAAAUUGUGAACGGCUGGUUGUUUGAGGUGGUGGCAGCUGGGGAAGAAGGAAAAGAAAAAAAUGAUUUUAGGGUUUCACAGUUAUUAUCAUUGGGGUCCCUAUAGUUUCACAUUUUUUUCCUUUGGGUAGAAAAGUCUUAAUUGUUUACAUUUAAGUCCAAAAUAGUUUUGGACUUAAAGAAUCCUAGUUUUAGGCCCAAUUUCAAUUGAGUUUAAUGGAUUAAAAUGCAUAGAUAAAAUUGGACACAUUAAAUUUAUUUUUUGUCCAAAAGUUUUAUUUUAAUAAAAAAAAUUAAUUAUUUAUUUAUUUCCUUUCAAAAUUAAAAUUGAACCAAUAAUAAAUUUAAAAGCUCAAUUUCCCCUAGUCCAUUAACAAAGACAAGUCUAUGGAAGAUGGACAUUAACAAGAAGCCCAAUGAAGAUUAGGCUUAAGGUUAAUGUAUUUUUUCAUUUUAGGAAAGCCAUAAAUUAAGAUUUUUUAAUUAUUUUUCUAUAUGUUAUGUUUUGGAUGAUAACAUGUCAUAUAGAAUAAGUAGUGUCACUCUAUGCAUAAUGAUACAUGUCAUUCAUAUAUUAUGCAUCGCGUUAUAUUGUUUGUAAUUUGCGUAUGCUUAAUAAUAUUGGAUAUCAUCUAGAUAAUAUUAUAGGAAGCAUACAAUUAACAAUAUGUAUGUUUUAAAAAGGAAAAACUAAUUUUAAAAUAUUAAGUGGGAGAGGGAAAAUUCAAGAUAAUUUUUCUACGGGCUCCAUUGUUAGUUCAAUAAUAAAAUUAUAUAUAUACCUCGACUUCAUGAUACGGUGAUACUCCCUUCGGAGGGUAUAUAUAUUAGAUAUUUUAUUUGAUGAACUUUUUAAAGAUAAAAUUGAAAUAUUUUUCAAUCGAUUGUUCACCCCAACGGUGACUAUUGAUAUGAAAAAUACGUAGAUUGAAACAAUGAUUAUACAUUCAACUAAAAUUUGUUAUUAACCUUUCCAACGAAGCUCUGUUAACAAAUUUAGGCCUAAAAUGAUAACGAUAAUUAUUUAUCAUGUCUCUACAUGAAAGUAAAUAAUCCAAUGGGUAAUUGGGUCUAGUAAGUGUAGACUCGACUUCCCCAAUUGAUAGCUUGUCAAAGCGGUACUAGAUUAUUGUUACAAUAAAUUAAAAUGCAUUUAUGGUUUUAUGCAUUUUUGUCAUUUAUUGUGAAUAUUAUUUCAAAUUAUUUAUGCAUGGAUGUUUUAUUUUUCAGAAAAUGUCUUUCCUAAGCCCACUUACUAUUAUUCUGAGUCAAAACAAACUUACUGGAGAGAACUAUAUAGAUUGGAAAAGAAAUCUAUUCAUUAUCCUGACUACUGAAAAUUAUAAAUAUGUCUUAACCCAACCGUGCCCUCCAGUUCCAGUGGAAGAUGCUCAUACAAAUCAGAUGAGGCUUUAUGAGAAAUGGCAAAAGGCUAAUGAAAUGGCAAAAUGCCACAUUUUAGCCUCAAUUUCUAAUAUUCUACAGACCAAAGAUCAGAACUUGGAGACUGCCACUGAAAUAAUGGAUAGUCUCCAACAGAUGUUCGGGUAGAGUACUCGUUCCGCGAGACAAGCAGCGCUGAAAGGAAUUAUGAACAGUAAAAUGGGGAAGGGCACAAGAGUUCGUGAUCAUGUCCUCAAAAUGAUGGACUGUUUGAAUAAGGUUGAGAUUCAGGGAGCACAAAUCGAUGAUAACUCAAAGAUUGACAUGGUGUUAGAAUCUCUGCCAGAAACAUUCAAGGAGUUUAAGGUCAAUUAUAACAUGAACAAAAAAAACAUUACCUUAACUAAAUUGAUGAACGAACUUCAUUCGGCUGAAGAGAUCUAUCGUGCUGAGAAAUCUCUGGGAAGCAUAAAUAUUGCUGAAAAAGGUUCUUCUUCUAGACCUAAGCCGAAAGGCAAAGGUAAGAAGAAAGCUGGGAAAAAGAGACCGUUUACCAAGCAAGAUGGCAAGCCGAAAUUAAAUACUUCAAGUGUGAACAGAAAGGUCAUUGGAAAAAGGAUUGCCCUAAGAUUGUGAAAUCAAGUAUGGGAAAUCGUUUUGUAAUUGAGGCAUGUUUAGUUCAGAACUCUAUUGACACUUGGGUGUUGGAUUCAGGAGCAACUAAUCAUAUCUGUAAUUCACUUUAUUGGUUUCAGGAAACCAGGAAAAUAAGUGAAGAAAGCGUCAAGCUACAGUUAGGGACAUGACAGUUCGUGUCAGCAGUGAAGACUGGAUCUGUUUUAUUAUCUUUUAAUAAUAAAACUUUAAUUUUGAAUAAUUGUCUUUAUAUUCCAGACAUUAAGGGGAAUUUAAUUUCAGUAGCUUGUUUGUCAAAGUAAGGGUACACUGUAAAUUUUGGAUCCUCUGUUUUUAUUUUUUAUAAUAAGAGACUUAUUUGUUCUGGUACAUUGGAAGAUAAUUUAUAUCAUUUAAGUCCAAUGAUCCAUUCUAUGCAUGACAUAGUGAUCAAUAAUUAUGAGCAUACACAUUUAUCUAAGAAAAGAAAUAUUUCUUCCAACCAAUAUUACCUUUGGCAUUUACGCUUGGGUCAUAUAAACCAAAAUAGGAUACAUAGAAUGAUCAAAGAUGAGCUCUUGGGUCCAUUAGAAAAUGAAUCAUUGCCACUCUGUGAAUCAUGUUUAGAAGGAAAAAUGACCAAAAGGCCAUUCUCGGCCAAAAGAGUACGUGCAACAGUACCACUUGAAUUGGUACAUACAGAUGUAUGUGGACCAAUCAAUAUAAAAGCUCGAGGAGGUUAUGAGUAUUUCAUUACUUUCACUGAUGAUUACUUAAGAUACAGUUAUGUUUAUCUAAUGCGUCACAAAUCUGAAGCUCUUAAGAAAUUCAAAGAGUACAGGGCUGAGACAGAAAAGCAAUUAGAUAAGAACAUAAAGAAACUUCGAUCUAAUCAAGGUGGUGAAUUUCUCUCAAGAGAUUUCAAAGAGUAUCUAGUUGAAAAUGAGAUUAUAUCUCAGUUGACUGCCCCAGGAACACCACAAUAAAAUGGGGUAGCUGAAAGGAGAAAUAGAAUUCUUUUGGAUAUGGUGAGAUCUAUGCUUAGUUAUUCGUCAUUACCAAUCUCUUUUUAGGGACUAGCACUGGAAACUGUAGUUUACCUCUUGAACUUAGUUCCAUCUAAGUCAAUGCCUAAAACCCCAAUAGAAUUAUGGUCAGGUCGUAGACCAAGUUUACGACAUGUCCGUAUUUGGGGAUCACUAGCACAUGUGCUGAAACCAAAGGCAGAUAAAAUGGAUUCACAUUCUGACGUUUGUAUAUUUAUGGGGUAUCCUAAAGGAACAAGGGAAUGUUUAUUUUAUAGUCCUCAAGAUAGGAAAGUGAUCGUGAGCACACAUUUCACUUCCCUUAAUAAAGACUAUAUGAAUAACUUCAAACCUAAGAGUAAGGUAAUACUUGAAGAACUGUCAGGUGAUCAGGUUGAUGCUCAACUUUCAACACUUGUUACAGAACAGGAAGAACAACAACAACCAGCUAAUCAACACAGGAUUAUCCCUGAACAACCAUCACUUUUAGAAUUUCAUCAUAGUGGGAGGGUAACUAGGUUACCUGCGAGAUACAUGUUAUUAGGAGAAACCUAUACGGCUAUCUCAGAUGAACAUGUAUAAGAUCCUACUAGCUACAACGAAGCUAUAAUAGAUAGAGAUGUUGAAUUUUAGAAAAAGACCAUGAACCAAGAAAUGGAAUCCAUGUACUCCAAUAAAGUCUGGGAACUUGUAGAGGCACCAAAUGGGGUAAAACCUAUAGGGUGCAAGCGGAUCUACAAGAGAAAAAGAGAAGUAGACAGAAAGGUGGAAAUAUUUAAAGCAAGAUUAGUAGCCAAAGGGUUUACUUAGAAAGAGGGAAUUGAUUAUAAGGAAACCUUUUCUCCAGUUGCUAUGCUUAAAUCCAUCAAGAUUCUGCUCUCCAUUACUGCAGUGCUAGAUUAUAAAAUUUGGCAAAUGGAUGUCAAGACUGCCUUUCUUAAUGGGCAUCUUGAAGAAGACAUCUACAUAUAGCAACCAGAUGGAUUCAUACAAAAAGGAUCAAUCACCUAAAACAUCUGAAAAGAUAGAGAGAAUGAGACGAGUUCCCUAUGCAGAAGAUGUGGGAAGUCUCAUGUAUGUCAUGCUUUGCACUAGGCCAGACAUCUGUUUUGCAGUAGGGAUGGUUAGUAGAUAUCAAUCUAAUCCUGGACCUGAACACUGGACUGCGGUCAAGCAUAUAAUAAAGUAUAUGAAAAGAACUAAAAAUUAUAUGCUUGUGUAUUCUGGUGAUGAACUCAUUCCAGUGGGUUAUAUUGAUUUUGACUUUAUGUCAAAUAAGGAUUCCAGAAAAUCAACUUCCGGCUAUGUGUUUACAUUGGGAAAUGGAGCUAUUAGUUGGGGGAGUGUGAAAAAAUCUUGUAUCGCAGACUCCACAACUGAAGCUGAAUAUGUGGUUACAUCCGAAGCCGUAAAAGAAACUAUAUGGCUCCGCAAGUUCCUACAAGAUCUUGAGGUGGUACCUGCUGUAACUGCACCCCUUAAACUAUUUUACGAUAAUAGUGGUGCGGUAGCCCAAUUUAAGGAACCAAUGAACCACAAGAAACAAAAACAUAUGGAGAGGAAGUAUCAUCUUAUAAGGGAUAUAGUGCAGAGAGGUGAUGUAGAGGUUACUCAGAUUGCAGCACAGCAAAACUUGGUAGAUCCUUUUACUAAGGCCAUACCUGGGAAACCUUUUAACUUGCACUUAGAAUCCAUGGCCAUGCGUGAGAUGCCAAAUAUGCUUUGAGAGCUAGUGGGAGAUUGUUAGGAAAAUAUGCUCUUUAAAAGCAUAUGUGUUUAUUUAAUUGUAAUAAAUAAUUUUUCUGAUUAAUAUAAUAAAUGAGAUAUUUUAUUCAAAUAUCUUAAUUGCAUUAAUAUUUUGAUUAAAGUCCAUUUAAUCAUAUUAUAUGUAUUUAUGUGAUCACUAUGUGGAUUCACAGAAGACAUAAAUACAAGUUAUCUUAUGAUUAAAUAAAUUUAGUUCGCAGUUGAUAAAUAAAGUUGGGCACUUUAUUUAAGUGUAAACUGUAAUGAAUUCAUUGAAAGAUUUAUCUUAAUCAUGUAUGAAUUUAUUGAUGUAGUACGACUACAUUGAACAUGAUCACAUAUGAGAUUUAAUUAACCUUGAAAUAACUGUCAGACUUAUUAAAUCUCAUAGGCAUUGAUUUUAUUAUAAUCUUAAUCUUGAGUUAGUUAUGAUUUCAUGAUUGUAAUUGUUAUUCCAUUUGAGUUACCAAUGGGCACGACACACAACUGUGGUCAAGAUUACCCGGUAUCUUGGUGGGAGGAAUUAUGAGUAUUGGAGUUAUAGAUUAAUAAUAUAGAAUUUGUAUAGCACAUCUCUUGAUGAGUUUUUGUCACUUGAUCAUAGAAUUCUCUGGCCAGAGUGUGUCAACAUAUUUAGUCUGUUGACAAUUAUCAUUAGAGAAAAUCAGUAAGUAUCAAGGAAUAAGAUGUAAUUAAAUCGAUUGGACAGUUGAGAUAUCGAUUUAAUUAACGAUGUGGUACAAAGAAUUAUGCAGUAAAGAAAUCGAUGUGGCUUAGGACGAAUUAUUAUUCGAGCAUACAAUUAUGGAGGUCAGUUCCAAUCUUUUAGUAUAGUAGAUUUGAAAUUAAAUAAUUGGGCUAGUUUAAUUAUAAGCCUAAUUAUUGAUAAGUGCAUAUUUUUCAUAUAUUUUGUUAUUAAUUUCUCCGUCUUUUUCUUGUUUUGAUCUUAAAUAUUCUAGUUAUUUUAGUUAAUUUUUAAUUGAAUAGGGAAUUAAUUAAUAUACAUAUUUUACCCUUUUAUUAUAUAUUUACUAGUUAUUUUAUUUCUUAUUUUUAAUUAAUUGUAUUAUUUUAUUGAAUAGAGAAUUAAUUGGAGAUUGUGGAAAAAAAAAGGCAUGAAGAAAUUCAAAUUGAGAAGGAAUAAAGAUUAAAUUGGAAGACAAAAAUACAGUCCAGAAUCGAUAGAACCGAGUGGAAGAAAUCAAAGCAAUUAAUCCAAUUGAGAAAUGUUGAAUAAUUAAAAGAUUUAAUUUUUCCAAUUGGCAAUUGGAUGCACGUGCAUGGCAUUGCAAAAGUGGAAAGCAAUUUAAACGGGCCCGCAAUUGACUUUCAAAAGUUGGAAUUAAUGGUUUUUGGUGGUGUUAAAUUGGAAAAGGAUUUCAAUUAGAAUUGAAAAAGGAUUUCUUUAGACUUGUUGGAGAAGAAUUCGGUCAUCUAGCAUUAUAAAAGGAGAGCUGCCAGAGAGCGAGAAAGAGGUGUGCAGACGCAAUUCGGGCAAAGGAAAAUCAGCAGCCGCAAGGAGAAGAAAUAAAUCAGCAGCUGGAAUUAAGUUAAAGCAAAGGCAGCCGCUUGAAUUAAUCUCCAUGAUUGGUUUUGUCAAUUCUCUUAUUCCUAAUUCAAUUAUGUUAUGCUAAAUUUUUAUUUGGUUGAGGGUGAAUUCAAAACCCUAAACAUGCUAUGCAAUUAAAUUUAAAUUCUAUCAUUCAAUUUAUUUAAUUGAGAUUGUUUAUACUCUUCUAUAAUUAAUGUUCAUGGUUUAUUCUUGUUUUAUUUGAGUGGCCAAUUAGAUAGGACUUGAAUAAAUUUUAUUGCUAGAUUAAAAUUCUUGAUCUGUAAUUGUCUUGAUAUUUUAAUCAUUAGUAGCAGGUUGGAAUUAGUGAUUUCAAUUGAAGAACAUAACCUAGGUUAAAUAAUCCAAGCUUGUGUGUUUAUUGCCUAAAUCAACCUAAUAUAUUUCUCUGUUUAAUGCUUCCAUUAUCUUAAAUUUAAAGAGCUUGUUUAAAAUUAUUUAAUGGUUAGAGAUUAGGUGAAGAGCUUGUUUUGCCUAACAACACACUAAGGAAAGAUUGAGACUAACAGAGCUUAUUAUUGUCUACGAUUGAUAGUUUCAAUAUAAAUUGAUAAUAGAAUUGAUAUAUUAUGUGCAUGUGUGGUGGUGGCGAAUGAUCCUUUAACCAAAGUUUUCAUCAUUAUUAUUUCUUUCUCCUUUAAUUAGAGUUUUUAUUAAAUUCUUGUUCGUAGUUUAAAUUUCUUUACUUCUUACUAUUUAGUUAAAAAUUCAUAAACCCCCUUUUUAUUAGAGGUGGACAUUUUACCCAACCCGACCCGAUAAAUUUCGGGUUCAGGUCGGAUCGGGUCGAGAUCGAAACCCGAUCGGUUUGAAAUUUACAAACCCGAUCGAGUUGUGAUCGGAUCGGGUCAAACCCGACCCGAUCCGAAUACCCGAUCGGGUUCUAAAAAAAAAAAACGUAAGCUAACAGUCUAAGUGUCUAACACUGCAUACACACAGAGCAAUGGUUUCACUUUCAAACUUUCAAUCACUUAAGUUAACACUAACAGUAGCAACAAAAUUGCAGUAAACAAAUUUAAGAAGAACUGAAGAAGAUGUUUAACACUUUAACAGUUUAAGCCACAGGCCCACAGUCAAUGAGUCAACACUCAACAGCAACUACACAAGUCACACACAUACGCUGCUCGCUCGGCUGCUGCACAACACACACACACAUAACUUGUCACAAGCUGCACAGCACACAGCCACACGGCCCACACACACAUACGCCGCUGCACACACACAACACAACUACACAAGUCACAAGCUGAAGCUGCACACUUGCACAGCACACACACAGAAUGACAGAACAAAACAAGACAGAACAGAACACACACGAGCUGCACAGCACAUACACACGCUGCAUAGCCACUCAAGUCUCAACAAUUCACUCGCAAACCUAACACACACUCAUACACACGCUGUCAGCCACAACUCACAAGUUCAAACAACUAAACAAACACAAACAACUUAACAAUAGAACAAGGCAGCCGCAACCCGCAAGUCUGCAACCACCAACCAGCCACCACAAGACGGAUCUGUUGCUGCCAACUGCUAAAGAAAUCACGAUCUGUUGCUGCCAAGUGAAGUCGCAACUAGUCGUGAGCCGUCCGCAUCUCCGCGAUCUGCUGCCAAGUGAAAUCCCGUCCGUCCAGCCGUGAGCCGUGGCCACCGAUCUGCUGCUUGAAGGCCGAAUCCUCUCCACCCGAACCCAAUUUUGAAGCUUUCCGGUUUCCACCUUCCAUUUUGAAGUUUCAAGCUUCAAGCUUCAAGCCUUCAAGCCUUCAAGCCUUCAAGCCUUCAACUUUAUUGAAGUUCCCAAGUCGUUUCAGACUUUUAAUUUUCCUUUAGUUCAACUUCACGCCUCACGGUAUAUAAGUAUAUAACUAUAUAUACACUAUAUAAUUAAUUAAUUAUAUAUGUGCUAAAUAAUUUAUUACUUUAUUAUGUAAUUGAGUAAUUGGUUAAUUGUUAUUAUUUAAUUGUUGUAAUUAACUAAUUAUGUAUUUAUAAAUAUUAGUAAUAAAAUCAAGGAAAUUUUGUUAAUUAUUGAGCUCAUCAGAAAUUAUUUUUUUGUCAUAUAUAAAAAGGAAUUGAAUAUUGAUGAUUGGUGAUUUGGUGGGUUUUGUUUUUAUUUAAUUGAUUAUUAAUUUUUUAUCGUUGGCUCUCUUUAGCGAAUUAGACUAUAACAAAUUAACAAUCAAGCACAAAGAAUAUAUGAAAAUGGUGUAAGUUUUUAUUUGGAAAUUGUGCUUUGGACUUUGUAAGUUUGUAUUAAUUUUAACUUUUAUUAAGUUUAGAACUUUGGAUUUUGUUGAUUGAGCAAAUAAUAGUCCUAAUUCUACCCUCUAAGUCCAAGCCAAUAGGCAAAUAAUCCUAUUAUAGCUUUUUAACUUUAUUCAUUUGAAUUAAUAACAUUUUCUUUUCUUUUUUUCAGUUGAAAAUUAGUAAAAAUGACUACAAUUAAGAAAAAUGUCUUAAAACUUUCAUAAAAAACGACAAUAAUAGGAAAAAAAGAGAUCAAAAUUGUAUUUAACCGAAUUUGAUCCGAAUUGACCUAAUUUAAACUGACCCGAACUGACCCGAAUUAACCCGAACUGACCCGAAUUGACCCGAUUUCAACCGACCCAAACUGACUCGAAUUAACCCGAAUUGACCCGAACUCAAUCCUACCCGUUUUAAAUCCAACUCGAUCCAACCCGAAUAUAACCCGAAUUAAUGACCCAACCCGAACUACGUUCGGGUCAGUUCGGGUCGGGUCAUUAAUUCGGGUUAUGUUCGGAUUGUUCCUUGUCUAACCCGAAACCCGAUCGGGUUGACCCGAACCGGAUUUUGCCCACCCCUACUUUUUAUUUAUAAUUGUAUUUUCUUUAGUUAGAUUAAUUUAUAUUAUUAUUACUAUUAUUAUUACUACUAUUAUUUUAUUUUAAAUCUUGCUUUAGAGUUGAUAAUAAAUAUAACUACAUAGUCUUUGUGGGAUCGAUCCUUACUCGCUUUGUACUAAUUAUUUAUAUUAGUGGUAAGGUUUUAAAUUUGGUACACCUUAACGACACUACCAAUUAUUAUGGUCACUAUUGUUUGUUCCCAAAUGAUCUCUAGGUUAGCUCAUUUAAUUGACUGCGCCACUACUGAAUUAAUAAGUAAGAUAACUAAUUAUUUGGGUUAAAAGCCUAAAUAUAUUAUUUAGUGAGCGGCUCCAUGUAAUGUACUUGUGUCUAAGAAGCCUUGUGUUAUUUUACAAGGUGGGCCCUUAUGACAAGAAAGAAGUAACAUUACUUUUGGUUUAUUAUUUUUAAUUUAAAUCAAACUUGAUUUAAUAUAAUAAAAUAAUAUUAAAAAAAUAGAGCCUAGGGUUUCCACUAGAUAGAGAUAUAAAAGGGCUUAUACUCUUCCAAAAGAAGGUGGAGCAGCUACUUUAUACAGAUCAGAUAAAAAGAUUUUUCUCUCUAAUUUUGAGAGAAAAAUUUUCUCGUGCUAGUUGCUUUAGUGGUGAUAAAGGCAUCCACACAUCAAGUGCAAAUAAAACCUAAGUCAUAACCUGGAAGAUCAUUGGUGACAGUUCUUGAUCUAACAAGUGUGGUGGUGACAAAUCGUGAUCUAACAGGCGUGGUGGUGACGGAUCGUAAUCUAGGAGCCUAGUUUCACUUCAGCGGAAAAAGCAAAGAUUGUUCAUCUUCUCAGAUUUUCAAGGUACGAUUUCUAGAUUACGAAUUCUUAUAUAUUGUAUAAGAUCGACCCUAAAAAAUUUUUUUUAAUUUAAAAAACUGAUUUUUCUCCAACAUCUUCUUCAUCAUCCUCCAUAUCCGCCCGGUCAACCAAGAACUUACCAUCAGGGGGAUCUCCAAUUGAAUUGGAGAGUUGGACUAAAUCGUCCAUGUUCGGAUUAGCCAACAUGGGCUCACUAGGAUUGGUACCAACAUGAAGGUUAAUAGUGUUCGUUUCAGGGAGGAAAGAGAUGGCAAAGUGGUUCGCAGGAUUGAGUUUUGUGGGUACAACGGUUGGCUUUGGGAGAUUAGACAAAAGAUGUGGAUGGUUUGCAUGGUUUGCAUGGGCCUUGGUUUUAUUACGUAGGAAGCCAGGGGAGUGCAUGUGUUUUGAGCUAGAGGCUAUAGGAUGGUGGACCAUAGGAAGGCCAUGUUUGGAGGUGUCCUCACGUGGAUGGUUAGAGAAGCGGGUCGAGCUUUUUGUUUUCUUUUGUUUAUUAUUGGAAGGGAAAGGCCGGUUACUUUCUUCGUGAGUUGGCAUAUGGAUACUCUUGGUAACCAAAGAUUCCUUAUUCAAGCCAUGGUUAGAAAUCUCAUCAUCAACGCUAGCUAGGACAUCGAAGCGUGAUUACUUUCCAAAAUACUCCCGCUGAUCACGUUCAGAAUCCCAGGUGAGCUCUUUUGCCUUUUCUACACGAGACCUGCCUUUUCUAGCCACAACCAUCCAGGGACCAAAUGUAACGCCCACUUUUAUUUAUUUAUUUUUUUCCUCUUUUUCCCUUAUUAAAUUGAGUAGGAUAGUUAUUAUUGAAUAUUUGUGUGAGAGUAAAAUUUAUCAAAUUGCUUUAAAUAAGUUACGUAAGUUGUUAGUUUUUAUAAAAAAAAAUUAAUAAUUAUCAAAUAUUUAAGAGGAAGCCAUCUUUUUAAGCCGUCUUUUAUUUUUUUACACCGUUACAAACCCUAGAAAAAAAAAAAGAAAGAAACAUAAGUCUUUGGAGCAGGAAAAGAAAGUUUUAUAACUUCUUUUCUUAGUGUUUGCCUUAAGGUAUUAAGUAUUUCUUUGACUUUUAUGAUUUAUUUUUAUAAAUUGUUUGCCUUUAAUUACUUGUAGUAUGAUUUGGGUAAUAUAUGUGUAUUUGUAAUGUUGUGAUGAUAUGAAUAGUCUCUAUUCCUUGCUUGAAAUCGUUUUCUUUACUUAGAAUCAAAUAAAUAUGCUUACAUAUCAUGGAACUAGACAUCAUAAGCUUUCCAUUGAUAGGUUUUGUGUUGAAAUCAUCUGAGUAUGCAAAUUGUUAUGGGUUUUCGAAGUUGGGUUACUAGUGCUGGAAAAUUCUGAUUUUAAGCAGUGGUUCUCAAUUCUAGAAAUUUUUCUGUAAAGUUACACAUCCUUAAAAAGUAUGGCGAUUUUUGUAUCAACAGAUCUAUGUCUCCUAUGCUUGCAUGUUUAAUUUCGUAGUUUUAUUCUUUAUGGUUAAAUUAUUAAAAAUCAUAACAUGUGGCUGCUGCAAAUCUGGAAACUGUUUUCCAGAAUUGCAGAAGCUGAAACAUGUAACAGUUGGGCUAAUUUAUGAAUAUUACAUGCCAUGUUAGGAUUUUACAAUGAAAUUCUGUUUUCAAAUCUGGAAUUUUCUGGACAGGUUAGAUGUUCUCGGAAAAUAAAACAUUUUAAAAUAGUUUCAGGAGUCCAAAAAUUAUGAAUUUUAAUUAUAUGCUUUCUGAAUGUGUCUUCUGUAAUUAGAUAAAAAAAAAGAAACAUAUUAUUUCGAUUACUAAAGAAUAUUUUAUGAAUUUCCUAAGUGGUAAAGGUUUGUUUUGGUCAAUGCUGGGCAGUUUUGUUACUUUGGUGAAAGGUCAUUAUUCUGACUCGAUUUUGACUUGUGCUGAUCUUUGUGAAAUAUUGUAUGCAAUGCUAUGCAUGUUCAUAGUGCCUCUGUAAAUUUUCGUGGUUUUCGGACAUGUGUAUAUUUUAUUAAAAAUCAGCAUGUGCAAGAUACUCAUACUUAUGUCUAGAUUAUGAAUAAGUAUUGAGCUAGUAUAAGUGGCUAUGAAUUAAGGAUGAUUCAAAUUAUGUUUAAGGUUCGAGAUGAUAUUGAUAAAGAUAUUUUUAUGAUGAUUAUAGGAUAUGGGUGAGCUCGUUGGUUUGUUCUUAAGGUAUUGAGUUGAUUGUUGCGGAUCGAGGUAAGUAGAUUCAUGCAUGAUGUGCUUUAUAAUAAAUGUGAUUUAUGUCAUAGGAAUUAUGUUUAAAUGGAGAUUUUUACAAAAUUGAUUUCUAAAAUAUUUAAAUGAAUUUUGUAAAAUAAAAACACUUUUAAAUGAAUUUAUAAAAAUGUGUUUUAAAAUGAAUUUUUCUUAAGAAAUUAGUUUUCUUAAACAAAAUGUUUUCAUAAAGAAUUUUCUUAAAGAAUUAAAUGAUCAAAGAAAUGUUCUUAAAUGUUUUAUAAGACUUUAAAUGCUAUUUAUGAAAGGAUGUAAGGUGGAUUCAAAAAUGUUUUGGCUCAUAGUCCAUCGUAAUGUAUACAAUGCAAAUGUUAUGAUGUUAUGUAAUGUUAUGGCCAGCUUGCUGGUAUGAUGAUGAUCUUGUGCACAAGGAUAUUAUGAACAAUGCGGGGUAUAGUACCCUGAAUGAGGAAUAAUGUGGGGUAUAAUGUUGUGCAAAUUUUAAUGUACUCGCAAGCGCACGAAUCUAUUGUAGUAUAGAUCUAUGGUGACGAGUGUCGAUCCCACGAGGAGGUGGAUUUUAAUUGUGUAGAAUUAAUUUUGUAAAUGGGUGAUUGGAUUUAUGGUGGAAAUGAUUUGGAAUAUGCUAAAACUUAAAUUAAAAUGGCGAGAAUAAAUUCUAAAAUUGGUAUUGAAAUGGCGAGAAUAAAUUGACGAGAAUUAUAUUGAAAUGACGUACUUGGGUAUCUGGAUUCGUAUCAACAUACAUCAUGGGCUAAAUAAUCCGUAUUAAUGCCAAUUAAAUCAUGAGGGGGGAAUCCACACCUCAUGAACCACGCUCUAAUCAAUAUGGUGCUAAGGGCUUAUCAUGCCAAAUAAUAAUAACCUUAUACUAGAGAGCCGGUGUAACCAAGGCGGUAUCUAGACAAGACUAUUAUUAUUUGUCGACGAGAAGUCAAAACAUCCACAAAAAUUAGAGGGGAAGAGAAAAUAAAUUUACCAAAUUAAGCCCAUGACACAUGUUGAGACUUCACCUUCAACCCAAGCUUGAAAGAAAAUUAGCCACUCAUAAUUGAACUAGGGGCAAAAUGGGAAUUUAUUAAAAUACGAAGAAAAUACAAGAUGGAGAAGGAAUUAAAGAAAAUGGAUCCCAAAAAUGGAUUCAGAGAUAUCAAAUUAGGGGGGAGAGGCCCCCUUUUUAUAGAUACAUGGAGUAAAUCAUGGCCAUCGGAUUAAAAACAGUUUGGACGCUCAGGAUUGCGCCACGUCAUCAGUCAACAGUCCACGGUUUGACCACGCGGAUGAACAGUAACACGGUUUGACCCGACUUUGAACAGUAACGCGGUUUGACCCGGAUGAACAGUAACGCGGUUUGGUUGAAAAUAAUCCUGUGUGAUGCAUGCACCGUACGCGAGAUUUUUCAUCCACUGAUAUGCUGCCACGUCACCAUCAACAGUACAUAAGAAUUUUAGUCCAACAGGAUCGUGACACCUCAUCAGUCAAUGUCACAUCAUCGGUCAAUGCCACGUCAUCAUCCGUCUAUGUGAACAGUGUCGUGAACAGUAACGUAUACAGUACCGUACACGUGAAUAGUACCGUACAUGUGAAUAGUGCCAUUUUUCCUUUUAUGCUCCUCUUAAGGUUUUCGACUGUCCUGAGUUCAAAAGUGAUGUCUGUUUUGCCGUCUGAUCUCUCCUUUAUUGUGAAAUGACUAUAAUGCCCCUAAAAUACAUAAAAUACUUAAUUAAAAUAAAACACAUGUAAUUAAAUCACAAGAAGGUUAAAUACAUAAAAGUAAGGGUUGUUAGUAAGACUUGAAAUGUAAAAUGACGGUUUUCUCCUUUAUAAAUAUGCAUUUUCUAACACUCAACAUAUAACACCCUAAAUUAUGAAUGAUGAAUGAUGAAUGAUGAUGACUACAAGGCAUGAGCUACCAAAUGUUUAUAUUUUAAAUUUUUUUUAUGAAUGUUUUAAUGUUUUUAAUGUUUUUACAUGAAUCCACCCCUUAUGCUAAAUGAAGAUGUUGUUAUAAAAUGUUUAAAGGUAUACGCCAAAGGUUUUUAAAUAUUGUGCAUGGAUUUGGUGACCGAGUUGACGACUCACCCCUCGUCUCUAAUAUUUUGCAGAUUGAUUAGAAAUGUGGCUUGGGUGCUUAGAUGGAGAAUUUUUCUUAGUGGAUCUUUGGAGUUGCUUUAAAGAUUAAAUUUGGCUAGACUUUUUAUUUUGAAUUAGAGAUUUUUCUUUGGAGGCUUUAUUUUACAUGUUUUAUGUAAGGAUUCAGUUGAAGUAUUAAUAAUGAUUGUCUAUCUUGAGAUUUAUUAAUAAGAAUAAAUGAUAUGAGGUUUCAUUCAAAUUUUGCCCUUGUGUUUUCAUGGGUAAUUUUUGGGGUGUUACACCAAACCUAGGCAAAUUCCCAUAUCCCUCCCCGACGUCCUGCAUCGGUGAUUCUGUUGUGAAACAAACCCUUUGAUGUCGAAUUAAUCUUGCCCCCUAGAUCUAAUUCAGACUCCAAGAUUAAGAACCAAAUCAACACAAGUCAUAACACUCACCAGAUCAAAGAAUAACAACACAAAAAAUACAAAAUACAAAACAAUUUAAGUGGUUCAGCACCUGUUACAGUGCCUACAUCCACUGGAGAAAACAAACUCAGGGAGCCACUUUAUUAAGCUUCAAAGGUUACAGAGAUGAUAAGCCCAAUACAGAGAACACUCAAAAAAGUUCCACUCUCUCUAAGGCUUCCUUAUCACUCUCAAUUCGAUAGAUCUAGAUGAAAUCAUAACCAACAUAUAUAUCAGCUGCUACUGGCGUUACAGAUCUAGAAGAUUCCCUCCAAAACUAACAAACUUAACUGCUUGACCACGAGCCUUUCACGUGCAACUUAAAGCCUUCCUUAAACGACGAUAAGGCAUGCCGUUUAAGCUUUAAAACAAGCUUAUGUUAAUCACGUGAGAGUUUAAUGAUCUUGGACGACAGCACCAAGUUGUCGGUUCUGGAUCCAUGACCAAUUGAAACAACAUGUCACUUGACUUUCCAAACCUCUAAACGACAAAUCGUUUACCCAGUUUGAGUUCAUUUCAACAGAUUCGUUAGCUCCGUCCAGAUGUGGCUGGUUUCCUAAGGCAUGAUCUUCUUCCGUUCGAUUAGGGCAGAUGUCCUUGCUAUGGCCAUAUUUACCACAUAGGAAGGAAAUAUUAGGGAGUCCUUCAUAUUCCACCUUCUGUAGCUUGCCAUCCAGUAAAAAUUGAGAAAUUAAGGGCUUGUUCGGAUCAAUUUCAACAGCAAGACGAGCAAAUUUGCCUCUGGAUGCGGAUUCAGUGUUGUAAUCAAUUUUAGAAACUCUCCCGAAAAUUUGUCCCAACAUUCGGGAGAAUUUUCGUAUUGUAGUAAUGUAGGGCCAUGCCUGGUAAGCGGAUUCAGGCUAUAACAUAUUCAAUCACUGCUGCCGAACUAUCAAAAUGGGGAGUCCAUUGCUUCACUGUUAGAUAGUGCCCCAGAAUAAUCCAAGGGCCUUGCGUCAAAGCGAACUCCACAUCCCUCUCUGUUCUGAAACGAACAAGAUAAUAAUCAUUUUCAAGGUCAAUUACAGAAAACCCUUGGGUCGAGCUCCAGAUGGCUUCCAAGCUGUUGCACAGCGUCCGGUAAACUAUGCGACGACCCCAAAGCUUGAACACCACCGUGUAUUGCCAUGGUUUCAUUAGUUGAGCAUGUACUUUCUGUGAAAAAGAAACGGAGUGAAAGGAAAGAGGCUGCACACUCAAAAACCACAUCUUCCAGUUCAACUACCAAAUCUUCCCCGCUAUCAAAAAACACUCCUUCAUCCACCCUUGUGUUGACAUCAGUUUAUCACGAAAGGAAGGAGGCUGAGGAUUGUCACCAUCUUCCCCUUGAGCCUUAAAUCUUGCUUUCUUUGUGGAACGAUCGUCAGCCAUAGGUGGAUUAGGGUUUUUCUCCAUUUCAAUUUUUCCUCACAUUAGGAACUCUUUUUUUUUUAAUUGGUUAUAUUUACUUUUUGAUUCUUGUAACUUUUUUCUUUAAGUGCCACCGCUCUAAUUUCUAUCCUCAUUUAACAGACUGCGGGUUGCGUUUGUCACUGUUAGCUGCACAUUGCCAUUUUUCGUGAGUAUGAUUUGCCGUAUGCAUGGAUACUGAAAGUAUCCCUUGUGCUAAAAAUGCUAUGAACCAUCCUUGAAUAAUCAAGUAUAACUGCAUGCAGAACAAAUUCAGCCGUUCUCAUGUUUUAGGUAGCAAAUAAUUAUCUUGUAGGAAUUAGAAUGAGCCUGACUUAAGUAUUUGCAUAUCCUGAAGACUUUUAUUCUCAAUAAAAAGUAACAUAUAUAUAUAUAUAUAUAUAUCAUUUCUUUUUCAUUUAUAAACCUUGAUCAAUGAGGGAAUUUAUUUUAUUAUCGAAAAGAGAUCCCUCAGAAGAAAGAAAAGCGGAGGCCAACAUCAACUGAAACUGCACUCUCUGGGAAUUCGCAACGCAUCAUGCAUUAUAAUUCAUCAUCAGCCUUUGGUGCCAGGAGAUGCUGUGAAAGCCAUGUGUUUGUCCCCCAAGGGAAUGGGCUGAAAAAGCAAUGUAAAACCGACAUCGAUAGUCUGUUGGUUUUGAACACCAUGCCCAUCUCCAUGUAGAUACAUAAAAUGGGACAUUCUCACAAGAUUCAAGAGGAACUCAGUAGUUGUUCGAGUCAAGGGAGAGUCUUUGUCGGCUGUGUAUGCAUUCACCUUCUUCCACAUCUGUCUCAUCAUAUCCUUGAUGUGUUCACGAGCAACUUCCUCCGAGGCACCAGUUUCAUGCAUGUAACACUGGAUUGAUUUCGGAACAUCCCCUCUCUGUAUCUCGUCCUGAUGAUUAUCGGGGAAAAAAAAAAUACAAUCAAUUCAUAUAUAGAGGAUUAAUUCAAUUGCUGUCGUCUAAAAAUAAAAAAUAAAAAAAGACAUACCGAUGAAGUUCCCAAAUCAUCUUGCAGACGGAAAAUCUUGGAUGACCAGUGAACUAUAUCUGGAUUACUUUCUAGAAAUUCCAGUUCCUUCUUAAUGAUUGGAUUUGUACCAGAAAGAUAUGAAAUCGUUAUAAUUAAAGGGCCCGUUAUUGAUACCAAUCCAUUUUCCAAGUAUUCUUCCAGUUUCGGUGUGUACUUGCUAUGGUACCAUUUCGCCUCCACCAAGUAGGCUUGUAUUAAGCCAAGCCACUGAUGCACAUGGCACAGAAAAUAUACAACUAGUUACGGUUUAUAAUUUUUGAGAAAAAAAGAACGUCGUAAUUUAAAAAGGAUAAAUCAAAGGAAAGGAACAGGGAGAGAGGUCAAAUUAAUAUUUCACGUACUGCAUUUUUAAUGCUCAGAAGCAUAUCAAAAUCCUGUUGUUUGAGAACGUAAUAAGCAAAUUCAUUAACAAAGUUGUAAAGCGCAAGAAAACACAUUUUCAUAUAGCCCGGAAGGUGCUUCAAAGCAUAAUUGAUGUCCCAC
rnacentral:lncRNA from 1 species